AGCUAGUCCUGGCAUCUUGAAACCUGACAUAAUCGGUCCUGGUGUUAAUAUCCUUGCUGCUUGGCCUACCUCCGUGGAUGACAACAAGGACACCAAAUCCACAUUCAAUAUUAUAUCAGGCACCUCAAUGUCUUGCCCUCACCUUAGUGGCGUAGCAGCUCUGCUGAAGAGCACACAUCCUGAUUGGUCUCCUGCAGCUAUUAAGUCUGCAAUCAUGACAACUGCUGACACGUUAAACCUUGCCAAUAGUCCAAUACUAGACGAAAGGCUCCUUCCUGCUGACAUUUUUGCCACUGGUGCAGGACAUGUUAAUCCAUCGAGGGCAAAUGAUCCAGGACUAGUUUAUGAUAUCCCAUUUGAGGACUAUCUACCUUAUUUAUGUGGUUUGAACUAUACGAAUCGACAGGUAGGUAACCUGUUACAACGCAGGGUGAAUUGCUCGGAGGUGAAAAUUAUCCUUGAAGCACAAUUAAACUAUCCUUCAUUUUGCAUAACUGAACUUGGAUCAACUCCUCAGACAUAUACAAGAACUGUGACCAACGUUGGUGACGCUACAUCAUCUUACAAAGUGGAGGUAGCUUCACCAAAAGGCGUUGCCGUGGAAGUUAAGCCCACAGAGCUAAAUUUCUCCGAGUUGAACCAGAAGUUAACAUACCAAGUGACAUUUUCCAAGACAACUAGCAGCUCAAACUUUGUGAUUGUUGAUGGAUUCUUGAAAUGGACUUCUAGUAGACACUCAGUGAGAAGUCCAAUUGCAGUUGUGUUAGCCUAGUCAAAAAUUGGCUUUACGAGUGCAUAAACUACUCAUACAUUUUAUUUUACUGAAAAUACUGUUUGUUUAUCGUUAUUUACUUCAUGUGAGUAAUUUGGGUACAUGUGAAAAAGUUUCGUAAUGGUGAAGAUAUGAAUGACCGCAUAGUAUAACGAUAACACUAUUAAAUGAAAGUUAAGAAAAAAAUAUUUUUGACUCUUUUACCAACUUAGAAGUAGGACAACAAAAACAAGUCCUACGAGUUCCCUAGAAAAGACAUUAGACCACGCUCGGUUUCGUUUACGAAAUUAAUGUCAAUCCAAACCAAAUUAAAAUAAAUUUAGUUUGGUUCUGUUUGAUUAGAUUAUCAAUUUUUGAGUCUAUAUUAAGUGUUAUUGAACAAGUUUACCUCCAAUUCAACUUCUAUCUUCGAAAUGUGAGAGUUUAUUAUUUAGGGUUCAAUUUUCAGUCAUGAGAGUUUCAAUUUAGGGUUUCAGAAUUGGGAAUUACGUAAUUCAUAAGUGUAGGAGCUACAGCGGGUCACUCUCAAAUGCCAAAUUGGGUCAAUUUUUAAUGGGCUAUUGACAUUGGAUAGGCUGGGCUGUCAGUGUAGUGUAGUGCUAAAAUUCGUGUAUUCGGUUAUAUCGAAUUAAUUUUGUUAAAAAUUGAAAAUCGAAUCGAACAACUAAAAUUGCUCCAUCAAAUAAAAAAACCGAUAUUGAAAUUUAAAAAAAUCCCGAAAUAUGCCCGGGCCUAGUUGUAAUUAACUCACAUGUUUGGAAUAAGUAUUUCUUACACGCCAGUAGUUUCAAAGGUAAAAAAUAUAUAUUAAAUAAAUCAUACACAUACACUGUACUAACAAAUUUAUUUUUUAUUUGAAUUCUAUAUAAUUUAAUAAGAUACAAUAAUAUUGAUGUAUUCGUUGUACUUUAUGUAUAAUAAAUUUAUCUUUUAUGUGAAUUCAAUGUUAAUUAGAAAGAUACAAUGAUUUUAAUAUAAUCAAAAUUAACCUUCAUUGAAUUUCAAUACAUAACUCUUUAAAAUAAAUAAAUAUUAAUUUAUGAGUAAAUAAUAUUUCUACAAAAUAAUAAUAUUUUAACGUAACUAAGCAUAAAAAUAAAAUAAUUACAAACAUAUACCCCUUUACAUUCAUACACUUACUAAAUACUUACAUUGUAUACCCCCAACUAAUUUAAAAAAUAUUACUUGAAUGACUAUGUGAGAAUUUCGAUUCAAUACUUAAAUUAGGACGUUGAUGCUAAACUUGUUAAUAUGACAAAAAAUAAAUAAAUAACAGGGACAUUCCUAUAUAUAAUCAUUCCACACCCUUCCACCCCUUAAUCAUACUCCCCCACCCUAUCCCACUCGUAUAUUAUUUUUCAUGAAAAAUAUUUUCUUACUUUCGAACGCACUCUGUACCAAAAUACCCUUCAUUGUAUAUGUAAUUUUCAAUCACUUCAAUUAUUAAUGGAGGAUAUAUCAUUUCCAUGGGAAGAAAUGUAUGAUUUUUGAGUGUUUCACAUUUAAACUUUGACUGUUUAAAUUACGUUAAGUUCGAGGCAUAUAUGACUUUAAUCCAUAAUUUCCACCUCAACUUACACAAAUUUAACUAAUCUGCUUAAAUAUGAAUAAUGUUCAUAAUUAUGAUACUAAGAAUAUAAAUAAAAAUAUAAGACCCACUGUCAACAAAAAUUUCUCAUUUUUUUAAAAAAAAACAUACUUAACAAUUGUUUUUUAAUCUUAAUUUCAAAUUUUAAACUUUUAAUCUCGACUUUACCUUUACUGCUAGGACAGGCUUGUUAAUCACACUUUUGACGUGGUCAUUACUUUCCUUUAUUUUUUAUGGAAAUAAUGAAAUCAACUAGUCUAUUAUUUGUGUAAAAUAAUUCUACAUACUUUCUCUUUCAAUCAUGACUUUUUUUUUUCCACACUAUAACAUUAAAAUGUCUCAUUGUGAGUUUUAACGUGUAAUAGAGGGCACAUUUUAACAAUAGAGGCGGAAUCAAAUAAUUGCAAGAAAUUCAUUUGAGUAUCUUUUGGUGAAAAAAUUAUAUUAUAUAUAUGAGGUUAAUUUUUUUUUACGUUAAUUUUUUUUUUGUGAAAAUCAUAUGACCUUGUCACUAUUAUUGACAACCCCUUCCCUUCUAUAGAUACUUAAAUUAUGUCGAUUCGAAUAGCGGGUGUGGAGGAAAAUGAAAUUAAGUUAACGUUGAUAGUCUUAUAAGGACAAAGCAAUAUAUGUGAAUCUGAUUUUAAUCGAAUUAGUGGACGAUAAAUACUUAAUAGUGAAGCUUAAAAAAAACUAAAAACAUAUAGUUGUUUGAUUGAGAUAAAGUGGAUCAUGAAAGGUCGUGGACCACUUUGUUGUGACACUUUUUCGUGGAAAAUUAGAUGGAUAGAUUGGUGGUUUAAUUAUAAUACGUGUGGAGAAUUUUCUUGAUUUUUUAUAUUUUGAUUAUUUUUAAUGAAAAUUCAUGUUUUGCUACUGAUUACCAAAGCCAAAAUAUAAUGUAAUAAGAAAUGAAUUUUGGAAUUUUCCCUACCUAAACCCUUACAAUAAUUAAUAGAGUAAGGAUUGUUCAAAUUCGCAUAAAGAAAAUUUUUCAUUUUUAAUUAACCCCUUUCUGCACGCCAAAUGAAAUUUAAUAAAUCAAAAAUUAGAAUGGAUUUGAGUGUAAUAAAUAUAAUGAUAAAAGAACUUAUCUUAGUCCUAACUCGGCCACAAAAUAGCUCAUGAGGAGACACUGCCCAAGAUCGUAAAGGGAGGGCCUUAUGCAAUGUAACAAUAUUGUAUAAUUAUGUAUAUAUGAUGUAUAACUAUGUAUCAAAGAUGUAUAUACAUCCAUAUACUCUGUUUGUACAAUGUUUAUGCAUUGUAUCUGUUCAUCUUCCUCAACAAUGUGUUUUCUUGAAUCUUAAUUUUAUACGUAUCGUGCCCCAAAGAAAGGGGAAAAAGAACAAAAUUUUUUUUAACACAAAUAAUUGAUUGAAUUCAUUGUUUACUUUCCAUUUUUGAUAUACAUAGAUUAUAUUAUUAAUUAUACACUUAUUAUUCAUGAAUUAAAUACAUAUAUUAUCUAUCCAUCCACUAAUUUUAAUUUCAUUCCUUGGAUUUCCACAUAUAAAAACAAUAUUUUUUUCCAGCAGCCCCUGUUGGUCCUUUGUGCCCCCACAAGUAAUCAGGUGGACUGAAAUGUAGUGCCAAUUAUCUCUAAUAAUUUCUGCAAUUUAAAGGAAUAAAUAGAUAAAUAUGGAUUUCGACAUAUAAAAACACAGCACAAAAUUAAUAAAAGUUUAAGUUGUGUUGGGAUAUUAGGUCUUGGGUCAACUUUUGUUAGUUAAAUGAGUUUGAUGAUUAGAAUACGCCAUAAUUAUUAUGAUCAGUAAUAAUUUAAAAGUUCAAAUGAAAUAUCGAGUCAAAAUUAAGUGUAAUUUUUCGUGGAUUUACAUUUAUCUAAUUAUCUCAUUCGCCAUUUUCUUAUGUCGAUCACCACUGUCCUCUCUCGCUUGCCUCUCUUCCUGUAUCUCUGGUAUACAUGUACUUAAUACGAUUCUCAUGAUGUUUAUGGGGAUGAUUCACAUAUAUCUAGAUAUCUCGGUCGCCUCUCUUCUUUUUUCGCUCGUGUUUCUCAAUUGAAAAUGACAUAAAUAAGUCAAACUUUAAAAGAAUGUCAUAUACGAGCUUUUUCCACAAGUUUAACAACAAAUUUGAGCUUUUUUCCUUAAAGGGAUAAAACGAAAUUAAAUAUAUUAUAGUGGAUGUCAUUUGGAAAAUAAAACCAUAGAAUAUAAUUUUCUGAUACUGGAGAAGUGAUAAUUUUGUUCAUACACAUGUCUUUUUUCCACAAUAAUUUUUCUAGAUGUUGAAUAGGUCAAUAAUAAAACACUAUAAAUAGACAGUUGCUUCAAAGCAGAGAAAUUCAUCAAAUAAAUCAUCACUUGUUGUAUUAGCUAGCCAUGGGAUUAUUGAAAAUCCUUCUUGUUUUCAUCUUCUGUUCUUUCCAAUGGCCUACUAUUCAGAGUAAUCUCGAGACUUAUAUCGUCCAUGUUGAAUCCCCUGAAAGCCUAGUUACUACUCAAUCAUUGUUAACGGAUUUAGGUAGCUAUUACCUUUCUUUUUUGCCUAAAACUGCUACCACAAUUAGUUCGAGUGGAAAUGAAGAGGCUGCUACCAUGAUCUAUUCCUAUCACAAUGUGAUGACAGGGUUUGCAGCAAGAUUAACUGCAGAACAAGUGAAGGAAAUGGAGAAAAAACACGGCUUUGUCUCUGCUCAGAAACAGAGGAUUUUGUCUUUGCACACUACUCAUACUCCAAGUUUUCUUGGUUUGCAGCAGAACAUGGGUGUAUGGAAGGAUUCCAACUAUGGGAAAGGCGUGAUCAUCGGAGUUAUAGACACUGGAAUUAUUCCUGACCAUCCUUCUUUUAGCGAUGUUGGGAUGCCUCCCCCGCCUGCUAAGUGGAAAGGAGUUUGUGAGUCCAAUUUCACCAAUAAGUGUAACAACAAGCUCAUUGGAGCCAGGUCUUACCAACUUGGUAAUGGUUCCCCGAUAGAUAGUAUUGGACAUGGUACACACACAGCAAGCACAGCUGCAGGAGCCUUUGUGAAAGGUGCUAAUGUAUAUGGCAAUGCUGAUGGAACUGCAGUUGGUGUUGCUCCUCUAGCCCAUAUAGCCAUAUAUAAGGUGUGUAAUUCUGUUGGUUGUUCUGAAAGUGAUGUUUUAGCUGCCAUGGAUUCAGCUAUAGAUGAUGGAGUAGAUAUUCUUUCAAUGUCCCUUAGUGGAGGUCCAAUCCCUUUCCAUAGAGACAAUAUUGCUAUCGGGGCGUACAGUGCAACGGAAAGAGGAAUUCUUGUAAGUUGUUCUGCUGGAAAUAGUGGUCCAUCCUUUAUCACAGCAGUAAACACCGCCCCUUGGAUUCUUACGGUAGGUGCCAGCACGCUUGACAGAAAGAUAAAAGCUACUGUUAAGCUUGGAAAUGGAGAGGAAUUUGAAGGAGAAUCUGCUUAUCGUCCAAAGAUUUCCAACGCAACAUUCUUCACUCUAUUUGAUGCUGCAAAAAAUGCAAAAGAUCCAUCCGAAACCCCUUAUUGCAGACGAGGUUCACUCACUGACCCUGCUAUAAGAGGAAAGAUAGUAUUAUGUUCAGCACUCGGCCAUGUAGCCAAUGUUGAUAAAGGACAAGCUGUGAAGGAUGCUGGAGGUGUUGGCAUGAUUAUCAUCAACCCAUCACAAUAUGGUGUCACUAAAUCAGCUGAUGCUCAUGUUCUUCCAGCAUUGGUUGUUUCAGCUGCAGACGGAACAAAAAUUCUUGCUUACAUGAACUCAACAUCAAGCCCUGUUGCUACAAUUGCAUUCCAAGGAACAAUAAUUGGAGACAAAAAUGCUCCUAUGGUUGCUGCAUUUUCCUCAAGAGGACCAAGUAGAGCUAGUCCUGGAAUCUUGAAGCCUGACAUAAUCGGUCCUGGUGCUAAUAUCCUUGCUGCUUGGCCUACCUCCGUGGAUGACAACAAGAACACCAAAUCCACAUUCAAUAUCAUAUCAGGCACCUCAAUGUCUUGCCCUCACCUUAGUGGCGUAGCAGCUCUGCUGAAAUGCACACAUCCUGAUUGGUCUCCUGCUGUUAUUAAGUCUGCAAUGAUGACAACGGCUGACACGUUAAACCUUGCUAAUAGUCCAAUACUCGAUGAAAGGCUCCUUCCUGCUGACAUCUAUGCAAUUGGUGCAGGACAUGUUAAUCCAUCAAGGGCAAAUGAUCCAGGACUAGUUUAUGAUACACCAUUCGAGGACUAUGUACCUUAUUUAUGUGGUUUGAAGUACACAGAUCAACAGGUAGGUAACCUGAUACAACGCAGGGUGAAUUGCUCGGAGGUGAAAAGUAUCCUUGAAGCACAAUUAAACUAUCCUUCGUUUUCCAUAUUUGGACUUGGAUCAACUCCUCAGACAUAUACCAGAACUGUAACCAAUGUUGGUGAUGCUACAUCAUCUUACAAAGUGGAGGUAGCUUCACCAGAAGGCGUUGCCAUCGAAGUUGAACCCUCCGAGCUAAAUUUCUCCGAGUUGAACCAGAAGUUGACAUACCAAGUGACAUUUUCCAAGACAACUAAUAGCUCAAACCCUGAGGUUAUUGAGGGAUUCUUGAAGUGGACUUCUAAUAGGCACUCAGUGAGAAGUCCAAUUGCAGUUGUGUCUGCCUAGUCAAAAAUUGGCUAUAUAAGUGCAUUAAGUACUCGGACAUUUGAAAAUGCUGUUUGUUUAUAUGUUACUUUUUAAUAUUAUAUUAUUAAAUGUAUUGUUUCAAUAAACUUUAUGUUCACAGUUGUUUGAAGAAUGCAAAAGCAUAUCCUCUUUGAUGUUAGUGUCCAUGCACUGCUCAACUUUUCUUCUUGAUUUCAUUGAUAAUAAAUAUUACUUGAGUGAUUAUGUAAGAUUUUCACUCCAUACUUAAAUUUGGGAAAUUUGCUGUCACCCUUUGAUCCAGAAUCUUGACAGUGACUUCAAAAAUAAAGUCUUAGUCUUCGGUGACUUCAAAAAGUAAUUGGGACGUUGAUGCUUUAACUAUAUUAGUAAGACAAGAAAAGUAAUAGAGACAUAUACUAUGAAUUUCCAAGAAAAAACGUUGUAAUUAAUUCGAACGAACUUAAAUUUUUUAACAUAUUGUGGCCAAAUGAGAAAUCUAUAGCCAACUAUACAUGUCAAGUCCAAAUUCUACCAUUGAAGGGGACCAAUGUACAUCAUCCAUGGUACAUAAUUUAUCUUCCAAAGAAAUUAAAUUAACCAAUACAUAUUUGGUUUUGUAAUAAUUUUCACAAAAAAACAAGAAUUACAGAAUGCAUUGUUGCUAUUUGUGUGUGGCCCAUCAUGUAUUGGUAGCAUUUUUUUACUAGUUAAUAGAGUAAGGAUUGUCCAAAUUCGUAUAAAGAUAUCAUCAUUCUUAAUUAGCUCCUUUCUGCAUGCCCGGUGAAAUGGAAUGAAUCAAGAAUUAGGACGACGUAUAUAACUCUAAUAUAAUAAGAAAUGAAUUUGCCCUACCUAAACCCUUACAACUAGUAAAUAGAGUAAGGAUUGUUCAAAUCCGUAUAAAGAGAUAUUCGCAUUCUUAAUUAUCCGUAUAUGAUGUAUAGCUAUGUAUCAGACAUGUAUAAAUAUUCAUAUAUCUCUGUUUGUACAUGCAUUGUAUCUGUUCAUCUUCCUUAACAAUGUGUUUUCUUGAAUCUCAACCAACUCAAAUCUUCUCUAAACACUCCGAAUGGUUUUGUUGUUGCCUAGCUCUUAUUGAAUUGUAUAUCUUUUGCAUAUAAGAAAAAGAUUUGAUUAUGAUAUAGGGACUCAACACUUCACGAUAGCGAAUAAUUUUAUAUGUAUCCUGCCCUAAAAGAAAGAAAAAACAAAAAAACUUUACUCGCCUCUCCUAUUUUACUCGCCUCUCUCCUCUCUCGCUCAUCCCUCUCCUUGUAUCCGGUAUAUAUAUGUUUUUGGUGUGAUUCUCAUAAUGUAUAUGGGGAUGAUUCACAUAUACCACAAUUGAAGGAGAUCAAUCUACAUCAUCCAUAAUUCACGUUUUGUCUUGCAAGUAAAUUAAAGUAACCAACUUUAGUUUUGUUAUUAAUCACACUUAGUGGCAUUUCUUUUGCUAUCUCUUUUAAUAUUCUUGUCCACAUUAUUCUUUUUUUCCCUCUAGCUAAAAUAGAGUGAUGAACAAUUAGGCAUUAUAAAUAGAGAAUUUGCUUUUAGUAGAUCAAAUUGUGAUUUAUUUUUUGAUUUUUGGUUGCUUUCAUUGAAUCUUUUAAUGUAUUUAGUUGAUUUUAAUUCUUAAAUUAAUGUAUACUUGAUUUGUUUCACCUUUACAAUUCAUUACAAUUUUAUCGUGUAUAAUAUAUUCUUUUCAAAUAUUAACUUUUAUACAUAAUCCUAAUUUAUUGUACACAAAUUAGUAUAUAUCGUGUUACUAGUUAUGUAUUGGAUAUACAAAUAUUACAAAUUUCAUUUUCUUUUACUACCAAUACAUACACCCAACUUUAUUCAACUAGUAGAAGACUAUUAUUUCUAGGGAAAAGGGUCCGAUAUACCCUCAACUUUAUCAUUUAGAGCUCAUAUACCCCUUGUUAUGAAAUUGACUCAUAUAUACUCCUACUUGUAAACAAAUGGCUCAAAUAUAUCCUUUUCCUUUAACGGAAAUGAAAAAAAAAUAAUUUUAAUCUAAAUUUUUAUUAUUUUUUUUCUAAAAAAAUAUAAUCCCAUAUAAGUAAAUUUAAUGCUCGUCAAAUAUAUUUUUUUGACUUUUUUUUGUUUCAAUGACUAAUUUAUAAUUAUUCUUUUGAUAAUCAAAUUUAUUUAUGUUUCAUUAAUAUUCUUGUAAAACUUAUUGUAGAUGACCAAAUUUUUUCUUCGAAUACGAAAUUAAAUUACAAAACACACAAAAAAAAUAGUUUAAUUUUUUAUUCUUUAAACUAAGGAAUGAAAGAAAAAGCAAAAUAAGAAUAAGAAAUUCAAAUAAUUAUAAUAAAAGAAGUCAAAAAAUAAUUUAUGUAUGAAAAAAAUUAAAAUAUACUUUGAACUUUGAUAGAAGAAUCAUAUAUACCCCUAAAUUUUUUUUUAAAAAAAAAUUAGAAGUAAUAAAUAUAAAUUUAAAACUAAUUUUUUUAAAUUCGUUAAAUGAAGGGUAUAUGUGAGCCAUUUCGUAAUGGCAGGGGUAUAUGUGAGCCAUUUGUAUAACGGUAUGGGCAUAUAUGAGCCACUUUUAUAACGAGGGGUAUAUCAGCUCCAAAUGACAAAGUUGAGAGGUAUAUCAGACCUUUUUCCCUUAUUUCUAAAAUGAAAGUCUAGAGUUCGCUUGAAUUGACUUAAAAGUUGAUCAAAUCUACUUUUAAAGUCCUGUUUUAUUUUUUAUUUUUGAGAGUUUUGACAAAGCAGAAAAUAACUUAUAAUAAGUUAGAGAUGACUUUAAAAAAAAGUUAAAAAUUACAAGUAGCUACUUCCUUACUUUUCAUUUUUUAACUUAAAAGUUACUAAAGUUUAACUUUUAAAAAAAUAAGGAAAAAAGUCUGAAAUAUAUAUCAACUUUGACCGAAAUUAUAUUAACGAUAUCAAACUUUGGAAAUGACCUUUUACCCCUGUACUAUUUAAUAGUGUAUUUUAAAGGUAUAUAUGUAUCCACGUGAACAUCACAAAUAUUCCAUCAUUAAAAAUAGAAAGUCAUCAUAAAAUUUGAUAUGUAACAAUAAUUUCGACCAAAAUUGAGAUAUUUUUCAGACCCUUUUUUCAAAAAAUACUUUUUAUGACAAGAAAGUACCUGGGAUGUUGAGUCGUUGACGCUAAACUUAUUAUUAAUAUGACAAGAAAAAAUAGUCCUAUGAGUUUCCUGGAAAAUACAUUGUAAUUAAUUCACAUGGGCACUUUUUAUUUUUUUUUAAACAUAUUGUGGCCAACUGAGAAAUUAUAGUUAGGAUUUUAAAUUGGAUUUUUAUUUCAUAUAUCCAUUUAAAAAUAAUUCAAUAUACUCCAUAACUAUAAUUUGAUAAUUACGAUUUGUAGCUAUAUAUAAGAGGGAGGAGAGAGGCGAGCGAGUGAGAUUGGGAGAGGGAGGAGAGAGACGAAUUGUAUAGGUCUAUCUAUCGAACUGUAUAAGUCUAUCUAUUAAAUAAUUAUAUAUUUAUAGCUGGUAUACGCAUGUACUUGUAUAUCUGGUGAGCGAGAUUGGGAGAGAGGCAAGUGAUAGAGGGUAGAGAGUGGAGAGAGACGAACUGUAUCUGUAUAGCUGUCAGAGGCAGAGAAUGGAGAGAGACUAACUGUAUUUGUAUAAUUGUAAUUAUUGUAUAUAUAUAUAUAUAUAUAUAUAUACUAGUUUUCGAAACGUGCGUUGCACGUUUGCCUUAUACAAUUAUUAUAAAGUUGAAUUAUUAUAUAAUGUUGAAAUUAGAAAUAUUAGUUUUACCAAUUUAUAUUUUAUUUAUUAAAUAAAAUUCAUAAUAAUCGAAUAGUACAUUGACCAUCAAACAAGAAUUUUUUUAAAAAUAAAUAUAUUAUUAUAGCAUCUAAUAAUAUGAAUAUAUCUGUAUAACUUAUUCUUAAUAAUCUCUCAUUACUCUCCAUAUUAGUAAGUACACAAAUGUGUAGCUACUUAAAGAAACUAUAUUAGUAAGGAAAGACAAAAGUAAAUAAAUAUUAUAAAAGUAUAUUUAAAAAUGAAUCUAAAUGUCAUAAAUUAGUAAUUUCAGCACUAAUAAAAAUAGCUUAUAACAUUCAUAAUUUCAUAGAAGAUUAUAUUAAAGAAGUAUAAUCGGUAAAGAAUACAAAAAAAAUUAAACAAAUAAGAAUAAAUACAACAUUUAUAUCCUUCUUAAGACUUUUAAUAUAACAAUAUAUAUAGUAAAAGAAAUACACAAGGAGUAAAAAAAUUUUCUCCCGUAACAAAAAAAAAACAAUCUAAAAUAGUAAAGAUAAAAUUUAUGAUUCAAAAUAUCAUUCUAAUGAGGAUCAAUAAAUAUUAAUAUUUCAAAACAAAAAAAAAGUACCUGUAAAUUGCAUAAUAAUUCACAUCAACACGAGGCAAAUGGUAAAGAGCAAUUAUUUUUAAAUGAUACAUAUAUAUAGCUAAAGAUUUAUUGGAUAAGAUGAAAAGGUGAAAAGUUGUUUAAGUUAAUUUUAGAAGUUGAAUGAUCUUACACAUGCGGUAGAGGAAAGGUGAUUGUUUUUACUAAUAAUUCAAUACAUUUAAUUAUACUAAUUACAGAGAGAGGAUAACAAAUUUAAUCAUUUAACCACAUUAAUUAUAGAGAAAGAAUUAAUAACUUUUAUUUAUUUUUUUUAAAAAGUAAUUCCUAACAAUUUUCUAUGAAAUAAUUUCUAACAAUUUUCUAUAAAAUAUUUUUGUCUUUCAAAGUUUGACUUUACACCUUCUUAGUUUUAGUAUAAUAUAAUUAUUACUUAGUAUGUAAAUAAUUAGAAUUUAAACUAUUGUGUCUAGAUGCAUGUAUUUAAAUAUGAUUAUAUAAUAUUAAAUUAAUUAUAUAUUAAUAUUUAAUUUAAUUUAGGGAUAAAAUAAGGACAAAAUGGUAAUUCAACUUUUAAGUUAAGAGCUUCCCACUUAUAAUAAUAAGAGUAUAUGUUAUAUCAUAAAAAAAAUCAUCUAGCAGACUAAGUACAAAUAUGUCAUAAAUAUUUUCUUGGAUAGCUUAAUAUAUAGAGGUUGUGAAUAUAAUCGAAGACAUCUAUAAUCUUUUUCAACACAUCGCAUUAGUACCAAUUUAUACUCUAUCAAUAGUUAUUUCUCCAAACUCAAAAGAGAAUUAAAAAAAAUUAUAAAAAUAUUGAACCAAUGAUUUCUAUAAUCUGGCCAUGAACAAAAUUACACUAAUAACUUAUCUUUUAAGUCUAGCAGGGCACUCUUAUAAUCAAAGGUUCUGAUACCAUCAUUCUGCUAUCGAAAAAGAAAAGCAUAUCAAAGAAAACAUAAGAAUUUUCAGAAUGUUCAUUGAUGUAUUUUUUUUUUGUACCCACAAAAUAAGAAUAUGCAAAAAUGAAACAAAAAGAAAAGAAAUAAUACAUACUUACUGGAGUAUCUCCGAUGAACAUAUGAAAUUAGGAAGAUGGUAGAUUAGAUUUUUGAAUGAUUAACAUAGAAUACACACAAUAUAUUAUAGUAAAUGAGACUCUUUGUUUCCCUUGUCUGUUAUGCCUUUUCAGUUGCAUCAUUUAAAUAUGUCUUCAUUAUUAUAUGAUAGAAUUACUGAAGGCUGAAACUAAUAAUUAUAUAUGGUAAUUAAGAUACUAUAAAUUAAAAGUUUUAUAUUUAAUAUUAAAAAAUAACUCCAAGAAAUUGAACAAAUUACAAAAAAAAAAAUCUCAUUAAAAUAUUUUUCUCACCUAUUAAAGCAUCAAAUUAGAAUUAAGGAAACAUAAAUCAACACAUAUAAACAAAUUAACAAUUAAUUAAUUUAUAAAUAGUCUAAGAGAUAAACUUCAAAAAAUUUAAACUAUUUAAAAAAAAUAAUAACAGGAAAACGUGUCUUUAAGAUAAUUAAACUUUAUUAUAUACUAAUAUUUUACUAAUAACCAAUUAGAUGAUUUUUACUAUUUCAAUGCAAGGACAAGGGUAAGACUUUUCAAAUUUAAAAAUUAAGAGUAAUUAAGUUAAAGACUAUAAAAUAAUUAGCAAUUUAUUUACUAAUAUUUAGUUACUUUGAUUAAGAUUUAGUAUAGGGGCAAAAUAGUAAUUCAACGUUUGCUUAACAUUCUUCCCACUUAUUCACAUUACAUGUUUAUUUUUGCAUGUCUGCUUAACGUCUGAAGCAGGAUCAGUAAGCAAAUCAUAACUCUUGUAAAUUUUAUUGCCUUUAUUCUUCACUUCUUUAGUAAGUGAAACAUGUACAAUCUUACACAAAUUCGUGUUAUUUACUUUCAAGUUGCAGAGUAGGAAAUUACCUUGGAUCUAAAAGAAAUUCCGUUGGAAUAUAAUUGAUUCCUACUCUCAAAUCUGUUGCAGCACCAAGUUCAAUUAUUUUGAACGCGCAACAACCUGCUUCAGAGAGACAUUAAUUACAACUUACAAGUACGCAAUCAAACUCAACCAUUGUGAAUCAGGUCAGCACUUUGUUUUUUAAAUAAUAUGUAUAUCCAUACGCCUAUGCAGUUUAUGACAGAGCACUUUCAGUUGCUGAUCUAAAACCUUGGUAGGAUCAAUCUGAACCUCAAGGUUUACUCAUUUUUUCCCCUUGAUUUGUUGACUUUCAACGUUUAAUUCUUUGUUCGAUGUUAAUUUUUACACAUAUUAGUACACACACAUACUGUUGAAUAGUACAAUAGAAUGUAGGAUUUUCAACAUAGUUUAACUGUCCUUCAAUGUCUUUAACUCCUGCUGUUGUUCUUUGUUAAUGAUCAUAAAAAUUCCGAAAUCACAUUAAGCCAUAUUAUAAUGAAGAGACAGAAUGUGUUUUGGAGAACCAAAACACAAAAAUGAUUGAAAAGAGCAACAGAAUAGAGAAUUGACUCAAACUCUUCUUCUACUGCUUCUUUGUUCCCUAAAACAAACAAAAAAAAACAGAACUGUCAACAACUCCAUUGCACAAUUGCUUUGUGAAAACUCGAAUACUGGCCUCCAUCUCAUUCAUAAAAAGUUUAUAUUUGCAAUUAGCAGCAAAACAGAGCAAAACCAAAGCAUUAACAUCAAAAAUUGACUGUAACUAUUAGGCAACAAAAACAAAGCACCAAAAAUAUUUACCUGUAUACUGACACGCCUUCUCUCGCCACUUCGAAGACCUUUCAUGCAGCGAUGUCCACCAAACUCCUUUUCUGACAAAGAAAACCAGGAAGCUGAAGCAAUGCUGAGUAGUAGAGGUAUUCACGGACUGUCAAUGUUCCAAUAAGAGUAGUUUCUCUGUCAACAAAUCCCAGCAGCCAAAAAGUUCCAUAUCAAAAGGCAGAGCUCAUGAUAAAGAAUAGCUAAGUUCCUCAUCCAAAAAUAUUUACCUGUAUAUCAUCCAGACACAAAAAGAGAAACAAUUUAAUGGACAAUAACAUGUGAUUUGAGACAUUUAUACAGAUGAUGAGAGUAGCUAAAAAGGUUUUGGAAGAAGAUGAUGAAACUUCAUAAUCGUCAGAAGAGAAGUGGAGCAGAUGACCGUUUCUGAAUAAUUAAAUUAGGCUGUUAGGAAAUUAAAUUUAUAAUAAUCAAUAUUAAUAGGUUUAACUAAUAUAGGGUUAAUAGGUUUAACUAAUAUAUUUAAUAAAUUAAUAUAUAAAUGAUAUUGUAGGGUUAAAAUGGUAAAUCAACUUUGGAGUUAAGAGGUUCAUGCUUACAAUAAUACUAGUUUCCGAAAACGUGCGUUGCACGUUUAUCCUAAAAUACUUCGUACAAUGUUUGUAGUGCAAAUAAUAAAUUUAAACAAUAUAUAUAUAUAUAUAUAUAUAUAUAUAUAUAUAUAUAUAUAUAUAUCAAGAAUUAACUAUUAUGCAUUUCAAUCACAUUUGUUACCGACCCAAAGGUAUAUAUGUACAUUUCACAAAUUUCGUCAAUAAUUCAUUUCCUCGUAAAUUUAAAAAAUAAUGAAGUUACAGUGGUUCAUCAACUUAUAAGACACCAUUGGUUCUCUUCAUCUUCAUUUUUAUUCUCUUCAUGUUCAUUUUUUUCUUUCUUUAAUUUUUUUGUUAGUGAGUUGGAUUCACUUGUACAGAAUCACAUCAACUUUUUAUCUUGUAGGAUAUUUAUUGAUUGUCAUGGAUGUAGUGAUAAAGCUAGAAGUCUUUCUUCUUGUCCUUGUGUAAAAGAUUUUUUUUUGGAUAAUCCAAUUAAGUGUACCGUCUCAACUUCUAUAAAAUAAUUUUUAUUUAAAAAUCAAACCAAAAUUUUAUUAAGAACAUAUCAACUUACACAAAAAUAAUUAAUUGCAUAUAAGGAACAAUAAUUUAUUACCUGAAAAUUGAUACCACUUGAAAUAGUUCAAUCUGUGUUGCUUCACUUACUGCAUCAUCACUAUGAAAUAUUAGCGUCAUUUCUUAAUUGUAUCUUCAUAAAAAAAAAGUCAAUUUAAAAAAUUUAUUAGUAGUUGAAAUAUUCAACAAUUUAGAUGAGUUCAAAUAAAGAUAAAUAAAACAUUGAGCAUAACAAACUCAUAUAAAAAAAAUAAAUAAAGAUAACAUGAUUACAUGAGAAAGUAUAAUAUAUAAUAUAGGAAAUGGAGAAUCUGCUAAUAGAAGAUAAAAACGUUACAAAUUAAGUGAUCCAAGAAGUGACAUUUUGAUAUCUUUAGACUAACUGGCUAACACCUUAAUAUGAGUUUUCUUUUUUUUAAAUAAUAACAAUGGUUUAAAGAGCAUAAUAAAAGUAGGUAACUUAAAAGGAUAAAUCAUUAUUGCUUUAUUUUUUAAAUUAUUAAUUCCAAUGCAUGUAUACUUUUUUAUCUAGUAAAAUUUUAUCUAGAAAUUAAUUAUGAAUGCUUUCGCUCUUCCACCUUCCGAGGAUAUUAAAUGGUUUUUAGUGCAUUCAGCUUAUCAAUAAUGAAGAACGAUAAAUUUGCACUUCAAAGCUGAAUUUGGUUUUUAUUAUGUUAUUAAUUUCAGUAAGUAUAAUUUAAUAAUAUCAUAUGAACUAAUAUUUAAAAAUAAUUAACUAUUAUAGGAAUACAAUGGUGAUUCAACUUUGCAUUUUGGAGCUUCACACUUAUACCCAUGAGUGUAUUAUUUCUUAAAAGAUAAUAAAAUAUAUCUAAUUGAGAUUUCUUACUUUGUUUUACUACUAAUUAUGAUACUCCAAUUUUCUGACCUUGCGUCUCAUGUUAGUCUAUGUUGACUCAUUUGAAUAUAUAUAUAUAUAUAUAUAUAAACCUAAAAAAAUUUAACAAGUUAAGUUAGGCUUGCACAAUGUUUAGAGUGUUUAUUGUUUGUAUUUUAAAGAACAAAUAUGUGCUAUAUGUAACAAAUAUUAUGAUAUUUUAUAUUUAAUAUAAUAUUUAUUACGAUUAUAAUUAUAUUUAAUUUUAUCUUUCAUAAAAUUAUAAUAUUAGUAUGCAAUAAAAUAAUUAUUGCUUUUGAAGGCCCUCAAUAUGAUGAUGGGUUGCUAGAAAUUUGAUAUUGAAGAAUGAUAUAUAUAUACAUGUGCAUAUAAGAAUAACCUCUUCUUUAUCUAUAGUAAAUUUAUAAGUGGUUAGAUAUUUAAAAUGUGAUUUCUCGUACUCAGAUAUAAGAUAAUUUCUCAUUAUUUUAAACUGUAAUCCCCUUCUUCACUUUACAAAAUUAAAAAUCGUUUAUGAGUGACACCCCUUCAAUAUUUAUGAUGUCAUAAUGAUCCAACACUUGAAAGCGGUAAAAGUUAUUUAAAACUCUCAUCUGAGGUUGCAGAUUUGUUAAUUUGGAGAAUCAUAGUUAAAGUAUGAAUUUUUAGAAAUUGUUAGAUUAGUUUAAUUUUUAAUUAUAUUUCUAUUUUAUAAAGUUUUUAUUGAACUACUAAUAGAUAUUAAAAUUGAAACACGAUUAUCAUGUUAUGUUUUGUAAGAACUAUAUUUAAUCAAAUUAAAUAAUUAAAAAAUUCUUUAUAAUGAGAUUUAAGAAUAAUAGAAAAUUUCAAAUUGCGCUUUAAAAAAAUAGUUCUUAAUCAUGAGCACAAGCUUAUUAUUUAAAUCACAAAAGACGAUUUUCUCAUUGCCUAAUUAAUAAUUGAUUCCUCAAAUAGAAACUAAAACACAUUAUACAAUCUACAAGUAAUAAUUUUCUUUAAAAUGAAAAUUGUCAGACCAAAAAUAAUAUAACAUGCAACCAAAGCUAAACAAAAUUAAUUAGCAUUGCAUCAAACGGUUGGUUAAAUGUGAUUUAUACUCCUAGCGAUAUAUUAUGUUAACAGUUGAGUAUAUAUAUUAGAUCAAAACAUCUUCAAUUACAAACUUCGAUUGCAAUUUCUUAAUAAUUUUCUUUUGAUCUCAUGACAUGUUAAAAACAACAGAAGAAAAUGAUAUUUAAUAUGAUAACAAUGAAUUUUUUUAAAUAAGAGUAAUUAUACAAAAAAAAAAUUCAUCUAAAGCAUGAAUAUAAUACGGAAAUUAAAAUUGAUUUCAACCUUCGGGAAGACUUGAACAUCCCUUCUGUCGUUGUAAACUCCAUUAGAAGAUCUAACAAUUUGUACACAUUUCUUUUCUAUAAACAACAAAUGAAGAUAAGGAAAAUUAGUAAUCAGUGUUAUGAACAGAAGCUAAAAGUGACUUAAAUAUAUACUAAAGGAUAAAAACAAUAGAAAUAUAGAAUUUUUUUUUUAAUUUCUUCCAAACUGUACCUAAAUAUCUUCAAAGUGUAUAGAUUGUUGUGUCAAAUACCGCAAUUUAUAGGACAUCAUUGAGUAAAAUCAAAAGUCUCAUAAUUAUGCCAUCAACUUCUUGAGAGUGUGGAAAGAUUAUGAAGGUGUGAAUAUUAAUGAUGAGAUAGUGAAGGUGUGGUAUUAAUACACAUUAUGACAAAAUUAAACCUAAAACUGAUCAGAUAGAGAAAUGAAAAGUUUCUCUAAUACAUUUACGUAAUAACUUUAUAAUUAAUUAUUUUUACAACUAUUCAUUCUCCUACUUUAUUUUAACAAUAAGUGAAUCAACUUAAUUAACAAUUUAAGCAUAUUUAAAAUUUAAUUAAUUAAUUAUUUUAUAAUAUUUUAAGUUAGUAUAAGGCUAAAAUGGUAAUUCAAGUGAAUCAACUUAAUUAACAAUUUAAGCAUAUUUAAUAUUUAAUUAAUUAAUUAUUUUAUAAUAUUUUAAUUUAAUAUAAGGUUAAAAUGGUAAUUCAACUUUUAAGUUUUGAGCUUCAUGCUUAUAAUAAUAAUAAUAAUAUAUAUAUAUAUAUAUAUAUAUAUAUAUAUAUAUAUAUAUAUGUAAUUUAUAUUUGUGUAUAUAUAAGUGACAUAAUUACAACUAAAAUUUAGCUGCAUGUCAUAAUUUAUUAGAACUAUAUUAGCUAAUUAACUAGUAUACCUUACUUAUCCGUUCCUUUUUUUUAAAAAUAAUUUGUACAUAUUUUUUUUAUUAGUUUGUUAAAGCAAAUAUACUAUUUGAACAACUAUACAUGUCAAAUGUCCACGCAAGUCCAAUCUCCAUGUAACACGUUUCGUCUUGCAAAGAAAUUAAAUUAACCUAAACUUUAGAUUUGUUUUUAUUUUUUUUUAACUCGAUCAACUCAAAUCUUCUUUGAACCUUCCAAUUUUAUAUAUGAACUCAUCUCAUAUUUCAAGUCUAUUGAUAUAUUAUACGUUCAAGAUAUUUACGUUUGUGACACAUCAAAUUUUAAAAAUUUGAGUUUCAAAGCUCUUUAUAAGUUAAAGUGCUCGGAUGGAUGACUACUAAAAUUGAUUCUUGGAAGAAGGAUCUUGAAUAGAUGCGUGUCUUUGAGAACAUGCAUUGCAAUUUCAUUUAGACAAAAUAUUUGCAACUUUUUAUUACCAAGUGAUUUUACAGUAAAAAAUUUGUAUAUGGAAAGAUGUUCUUUGUAUCCAAAUAUAAUUAAGCAAAUUUACAGAGGAUGGUCUUCUGGAAAAUCUACAAAUUUCAUAGAAUAAAGUUCAGUUUAACUAGUUUAUUCACGCCUAGUGAUUUAUAAAAAUAAACAAGUAAUUAGAGACAACUAAAAACAAUAAAAAAAUUGUAGACAAAUAGUUAGAGACAGUUAGAUUUAUUAAUUUUAACUAUGUUGUCCACAUUAUUCUUUUUCUCCACUAGCUAAAUAAAGUCAUGAGCAAAGAUGAAGUAUAAAUAGACAGUUGCAUCAAAGCAGAAAAAUUCAUCAAAUACAUUAUCACUUCAGCCAUGGGAUUCCUCAAAAUCUUUUUUGUUUUCAUCUUUUGUUCUUUCCCAUGGCCUACUAUUCAGAGUGAUUUCGAAACUUAUAUAGUCCAUGUUGAAUCCCCUGAAAGCCUAAUUACUACUCAAUCGUCGUUCAUGGAUUUAGAGAGCUAUUACCUUUCCUUUUUGCCUGAAACUAUGUCCGCAAUUAGUUCGAGUGGAAAUGAAGAGGCAGCCAGCAUUAUCUAUUCCUAUCACAAUGUGAUGACGGGGUUUGCAGCAAGAUUAACUGCAGAACAAGUGAAGGAAAUGGAGAAAAAACACGGCUUUGUCUCUGCUCAGAAACAGAGGAUUUUGUCCUUGCACACUACUCAUACUCCAAGUUUUCUUGGUUUGCAGCAGAACAAGGGUGUAUGGAAGGAUUCCAACUAUGGGAAAGGCGUGAUCAUCGGAGUUCUAGACACUGGAAUUAUUCCUGACCAUCCUUCUUUUAGCGACGUUGGGAUGCCUUCCCCGCCAGCUAAGUGGAAAGGAGUUUGUAAGUCCAAUUUCACCAACAAGUGUAACAACAAGCUCAUUGGAGCCAGGUCUUACGAACUUGGCAAUGCUUCCCCGAUAGAUAAUGAUGGACAUGGUACACACACAGCAAGCACAGCUGCGGGGGCUUUUGUGAAAGGUGCUAAUGUACAUGGCAAUGCUAAUGGAACUGCAGUUGGUGUUGCUCCUCUUGCCCAUAUAGCCAUAUAUAAGGUAUGUGGUUUCGAUGGAAAGUGUCCUGGCAGUGAUAUUUUAGCUGCCAUGGAUGCAGCUAUAGAUGAUGGAGUAGAUAUUCUUUCAAUCUCCCUUGGUGGAUCUCUGAGCCCUCUUUAUGAUGAAACUAUUGCUCUCGGGGCGUACAGUACAACACAAAGAGGCAUUCUUGUUAGUUGUUCUGCCGGAAAUAGUGGUCCAUCACCUGCCUCAGUAGAUAACUCAGCCCCUUGGAUUCUUACAGUAGGUGCCAGCACGCUUGAUAGAAAGAUAAAAGCUACUGUUAAGCUUGGAAAUGGAGAGGAAUUUGAAGGAGAAUCUGCUUAUCAUCCAAAGACUUCAAACGCAACAUUCUUCACUCUAUUUGAUGCUGCAAAAAAUGCAAAAGAUCCAUCCGAAACACCUUAUUGCAGACGAGGGUCACUCACUGACCCUGCUAUAAGAGGAAAGAUAGUAUUAUGCUUAGCAUUCGGCGGUGUUGCCAAUGUUGAUAAAGGACAAGCUGUGAAGGAUGCUGGAGGUGUUGGCAUGAUUGUCAUCAACCCAUCACAAUAUGGUGUCACUAAAUCAGCUGAUGCUCAUGUUCUUCCAGCAUUGGUUGUUUCAGCUGCAGAUGGAACAAAAAUUCGCGCCUAUACAAACUCAAUAUUAAACCCUGUUGCUACAAUCACAUUCCAAGGAACAAUAAUUGGAGAUAAAAAUGCUCCAAUAGUUGCUGCAUUUUCUUCUCGGGGACCAAAUACAGCUAGUCGUGGAAUCUUGAAACCUGACAUAAUCGGUCCUGGUGUUAAUAUCCUUGCUGCUUGGCCUACCUCCGUGGAUGGCAACAAAAACACCAAAUCCACAUUCAAUAUUAUAUCAGGCACCUCAAUGUCUUGCCCUCACCUUAGUGGCGUAGCAGCUCUGCUGAAGAGCUCACAUCCUGAUUGGUCUCCUGCUGUUAUUAAGUCUGCAAUCAUGACAACCGCUGACACAUUAAACCUUGCCAGUAGUCCAAUACUCGACGAAAGGCUCAGUCCUGCUGAUAUCUAUGCAAUUGGUGCAGGACAUGUUAAUCCAUCAAGGGCAAAUGACCCAGGACUAGUUUAUGAUACCCCAUUUGAGGACUAUCUACCUUAUUUGUGUGGUUUGAACUACACAAAUUCACAGGUAGGUAAAUUGUUGAAACGCAAAGUAAAUUGCUCGGAGGUUGAAAGUAUCCCUGAAGCACAAUUAAACUAUCCUUCAUUUUGCAUAUCGAGACUUGGAUCAACUCCUCAGACAUUCACAAGAACUGUGACCAAUGUUGGUGAUGCCAAAUCAUCUUACACGGUGCAGAUAGCUUCACCUAAAGGCGUUGUCGUGAAAGUUAAGCCCCGCAAGCUAAUUUUCUCGGAGUUGAAGCAGAAGUUAACAUACCAAGUGACAUUUUCCAAGAGAACCAACAGCUCAAAGUCUGGGGUCUUUGAGGGAUUCUUGAAGUGGAAUUCUAACAAGUACUCUGUGAGAAGUCCAAUUGCAGUUGAGUUUGCAUUGGCUACAAAGUAUUCAGACAUUUGAAAAUGCUGUUUGUUUACACAAUUAACUUUAUGUUACUUUUUUCAUAUAUAUUAUUAAAUGUAUUGUUUCAAUAAACUUUACGUUCUCAGCUGAUUGAAGAAUGCAAAAGCAUAUCCUCUUUGAUAUUAGUGACCAUGCCCUGCUCAACCUUUCUUCUUGAUUUCAUUUUUUUCAACAAAUAAAAUGACUUCUCGAGAUAAUAAAUAUUAGUUGAGUGACCGUAAAAGAAUCUCAGUUCAUAAUUAAGCACCCUUUGAUCCAGAAUCUUGACAGUGACUUCAAAAAUAAAGUCUUAGUCUUUGGUGACUUCAAACUUAUUAAUAAGACAAGAAAAAUAAUAGAGACAUAUCCUAUGAAUUUCCUGGAAAAACUGUUACGUUGUAAUGUUACGUAAACCCUUACAACUAGUUAAUAGAGUAAGGUUCGUUCAAAUCCUUAUAUAAAAAAAAAGAUUCUCAUUCUCAAUUAGCCCCUUUCUGCACCCCCAAUGAAAUGGAAUGAAUCAAGAAUUAAAGACAAAUAUGACUAAUAUAAUAAGAAAUGAAUUUGCCCUACCUAAAUCCUUACGAUUAGUUAAUAGAGUAAGGAUUGUUCAAAUCCAUAUGAAGAAGAAUUCAUUCUUAAUACUCGGCCUCAAAAUAACUCACGAGGAGGAGGGGCUUCUUAUGUAAAUGUACACCCGACAAAAAAAACUUUCUUACUAAAAUGGUCGUAGUAUAUGUAAUAUAUCGAUAUUUGUAUGAAUAAUGUAUAAUUAUGUAUAUAUAGUAUUUAUACAUUGUAUCAAUUCAUCUUCCUCAAUAAUGUGUUUUCUUGAAUCUUAAAUUCUUAACCAACUCAAAUCUUCUCUAAUCAUUCCAAACAGUUUUGUUGUUCGCUAGCUCUUAUUGAAUUGUAUAUCUUUUGUAUAUAUAUAUAUAUAUAGAAAAGAUUUGAUUAUGAUAUAGGGACUCAACACUUUAAGAGUUGAUGUUCAUUUGAUUCUCUAAAAAUAUGAAAUAGUGACACUUUCUUUAAGCAAAAGGAUAAAUUAUAAAAUCAAAUUAAAGAGGAUUGAUCGAAGAAUAACAUUAACUUGUUGAUGCUUAGCUUAUUCAUAUGAUGACCAAAAAAAAAAAAAAACUUCGAAUUUCCUGCAAAAGACGUUGUAAUUAAUUCACAUGGAUAUUUUUUAUUAACAUAUUGUGGCCAAAUAGACUUACUAACACAAAUAUAAUAUAAUAGUACUAAAUUAAUAUUCGGUAUAUUAAUAGUUUAUCCAAGACAAUAGGUUUUUUCAUGUCUUGAUUUGUGUCAAUGAAAAAAAUCACUCAUUUCAAUAUGAUAAUAUGACAAUAUAUUUUCAGAAGACCCUAUAUAAAUAUACUAUCCCACUAAUAUUAUCUUUAAAAAUAUGAAUAUAUCUAAGAUAAUUUAAGUGAAAUGUGAUUUUAUUAUCUUUCUUACAAAUUUAAAUCUAGUUAAAUUCAUGUCUAAUUUUUUUAUUGCAUCCAAAAAUUCUAGUGUUGUCACGACUACAAAUUAUCUUCCUGAGUGCGCCUCCUAUGUUGACACAUUUUAAAUGAGAAACCAUUUAUGCAUAUGGUUACAAAAAUUUCCUAUGUUGCUUAUAUAAUUUAUUCUCUCAUCAUCGUACAUUGAAUAUUUCUUGUGAAGAUACAUUGAAUAAUAUUUUGUUAUUAAGAAACAAUGACCAUUAUAUAUAGUGAAUUUGUUUUUACGAUGAAUCACUGAAUUUUUGAAUUUAUUUUAUAAUGAAUCAUUAAAAAAAAAUAUAUAUAUUACCGUGAUUCAUACAUAUACAUUGUACUUUGUGUAUAAUGAUUUUUUUUUAAAUAUAAGUUCAAUAAAUAUAAUGUAUAAUUUAGUAAGAUAUAAUGAUUUUGAUAUAUUCACUGUACUUACUAUAUAUAAUAAAUUUAUUUCUUAUGUGAAUUCAAUAAAUAUGAUACAUAAAUUAAUAAGAUAUAAUUAUUUUAAUGUAAUCAAAGUUGACCUUCAUUGAAUCUCAAAAACACUCUUUAAUUAAUAAAUAUUAAUUUAUGAAUUAAAUAAUACCUUUGUAGAAUAACAAUAUUUUAUGAUCUCACAUAUAUUAAUUUAAUGAGAUUUUAAGGUAUGCGAGCAAAAUCUACUAAAUUCGAUCAAAUCUGCGUGCAGGUUACUAGCUCUACCCUUCACGUUAUACCAACUAUAUAUGUCAAAUGUCCACGCAAGUCCAAUUGAAGGAGAGCAAUGUACAUCAUCCAUCAUUCACGUUUUGUCUUGCAAAUAAAUUAAAUUAACCAAUUUUUAUUUUAGUAUUUAAAAUUAACCAAUUUUAGUUUUAUAAUUAAUAUUUUUAAUCUCGACCAACUGAAAUCUCCUAUGAGCACCUCGAAUUUUAAAUUUGAGCUCCUCUCAAUAUUUCAAGACUAUUAAUAUAUUAUUCGUUCAAAAUAAUUGAUGACUAUUGAAAUUAAUUCUCGGAAAAGGAUCUUGAAUAGUUACAUGUUCAUGCAUUGCAACUUUAUUUAGACAUAAUAUUUGCAACUUUUUAUUACAAAGUGAUUUAACAGUUAAAAUUUGUAUGGUAAAAAGAUGUUCAUAUAAUUAAGCAAAUUUACAGUGGAAAGUCUUUUGGAAAAUCUACAAAUUCAUAGAAUAAAGUUCAAUGUAACUUUAGUUUCAUUCACUCUUAGUGGCCUUUCUUUUCUUUUCCUUUAAGUAUUAAUUUUAAUUUUCUUGUCCACAUUAUUCUUUUUUUCCACUUGGAAUAAAAUAAUGUCAUGAGCAAAGAUGAAGUAUAAAUAGACAGUUGCAUCAAAGCAGAAAAAUUCAUCAAAUACAUUAUCGCUUCAGCCAUGGGAUUCUUCAAAGUCCUUCUUGUUCUCAUCUUUUGUUCUUUCCCAUGGCCGACUAUUCAGAGUGGUCUCGAGAUUUAUAUAGUCCAUGUUGAAUCCCCUGAAAGCCUGAUUUCUACUAAAUCAUCGUUAACGGAUCUAGACAGCUAUUACCAUUCUUUUUUGCCUAAAACUACUACCGCAAUUAGCUCGAGUGGAAAUGAAGAGGCUGCUACCAUGAUCUAUUCCUAUCACAAUGUGAUGAAAGGAUUUGCAGCAAGAUUAACAGAAUCUCAUGUGAAGGAAAUGGAGAAGAAACGAGGCUUUGUUUCCGCUCAGAAACAGAGGAUUUUGUCCUUGGAUACUACUCAUACUCCAAGUUUUCUUGGUUUGCAGCAGAACAUGGGUGUAUGGAAGGAUUCCAACUAUGGAGAAGGCGUGAUCAUCGGAGUUAUAGACACUGGAAUUCUUCCUGACCAUCCUUCGUUUAGUGAUGUUGGAAUGCCUCCUCCGCCUGCUAAAUGGAAAGGAGUUUGUGAGUCCAACUUCAUCAACAAGUGUAACAACAAGCUCAUAGGAGCGAGGUCUUACCAUCUUGGCAAUGGUUCCCCGAUAGAUGGUAAUGGGCAUGGUACACACACAGCAAGCACAGCUGCGGGAGCUUUUGUGAAAGGUGCUAAUGUAUAUGGCAAUGCUAAUGGAACUGCAGUUGGUGUUGCCCCUCUUGCCCACAUAGCUGUAUAUAAGGUAUGUAGUUCUGAUGGCGGUUGUUCUGACAGUGAUAUUUUAGCUGCCAUGGAUUCAGCUAUAGAUGAUGGAGUAGAUAUUCUUUCUAUAUCCAUUGGUGGAUCUCCCAACUCUUUCUAUGAUGACCCUAUUGCUCUUGGGGCAUACAGUGCAACGGCAAGAGGUGUUUUUGUAAGUUGUUCUGCAGGUAAUAGAGGCCCUUUGCUUGCCUCAGUUGGAAAUGCAGCCCCUUGGAUUCUUACAGUAGGUGCCAGCACGCUUGAUAGAAAGAUAAAAGCUACUGUUAAGCUUGGAAAUGGAGAGGAAUUCGAAGGAGAAUCUGCUUAUCGUCCACAGAUUUCCAACUCAACAUUCUUCACUCUAUUUGAUGCUGCAAAACAUGCAAAAGAUCCAUCGGAAACCCCUUAUUGCAAACCAGGGUCACUCAAGGGCCCUGUUAUAAGAGGAAAGAUAGUAUUAUGUCUAGCAGGCGGUGGCGUCUCCAGUGUUGCUAAAGGAAAAGUUGUGAAGGAUGCUGGAGGUGUUGGCAUGAUUGUCAUCAAAACAUCACAAUAUGGUGUCACUAAAACAGCUGAUGCUCAUGUUCUUCCAGCAUUGGAUAUUUCAGAUGCAGAUGGAUUAAGAAUUCGUGCCUAUACAAACUCAAUAUUAAACCCUGUUGCUACAAUCACAUUCCAAGGAACAACAAUUGGAGAUGAAAAUGCUCCAAUAGUUGCUGCAUUUUCUUCUCGGGGACCAAGUAGAGCUAGUCCUGGAAUCUUGAAACCUGACAUAAUCGGUCCUGGUGUUAACAUCCUUGCUGCUUGGCCUACACCCGUGGAUGACGACAAAAACACCAAAUCCACAUUCAAUAUUAUAUCAGGCACCUCAAUGUCUUGCCCUCACCUUAGUGGUGUAGCAGCUCUGCUGAAGAGCGCACAUCCUGAUUGGUCUCCUGCUGUUAUUAAGUCUGCAAUCAUGACAACGGCUGACACGUUAAACCUUGCCAAUAGUCCAAUACUAGACGAAAGGCUCCUUCCUGCUGACAUUUUUACCACUGGUGCAGGACAUGUUAAUCCAUCGAGGGCAAAUGAUCCAGGACUAGUUUAUGAUACCCCAUUUGAGGACUAUGUACCUUAUUUUUGUGGUUUAAACUAUACCAAUCGAGAGGUAGGUAAAAUGUUACAACGUCAGGUGAAUUGUUUGAAGGUGAAAAGUAUCCCUGAAGCACAAUUAAACUAUCCUUCAUUUUCCAUAUUCAGACUUGGAUCAACUCCUCAAACAUAUACCAGAACUGUGACCAACGUUGGUGACGCAACAUCAUCUUACAAAGUGGAGGUAGCUUCACCAAAAGGCGUUGCCGUGGAAGUUAAGCCCACAGAGCUCAAUUUCUCUGAGUUGAACCAGAAGUUAACAUACCAAGUGACAUUUUCCAAAAGAACCAACAGCUCAAACUUUGUGAUUGUUGAUGGAUUCUUGAAAUGGACUUCUAAUAGGCACUCAGUGAGAAGUCCAAUUGCAGUUGUGUUAGCCUAAUCAAAAAUUGGCUUUAUAAGUGCAUAAGGACAUUUGAUUGUAGUGAAAAUGCUGUUUGUUUUCACAAUAUAUUUUAUGUUACUUUUACAUUAUUAAUUGUAUAUUUACAGCUGAUUGAAAAAUACAAAAGAAUAUCCUCUUUGAUUAAUGCACAUUAAUUUCUAUUAGUGGCCAUGCCCUGCUCAACUUUUCUUCUUCAACUAGACAAUAGCAAGCACGAGCCUUAGGUAAAUAAAUAUGAUUAUAAUUCAAUUAAUUUAAAUAAUAAUUAUUAAAUUGAAUUCAUUUAAUUUGAAUAUGAUUUGUUAUAGUUCUAUAAUUUGAAUUUAAGUCAAUGGGUUGAUGAGUGCUUAAUCUUUCAUAAAAUGAAGGGUUCAAAUUUUAGUAGCGUUUUAUUCUUAACAUUAAUUACUUCUAAAUUAUUUUCCAAGAAUUAAUACUUGUUAGAAACAAUAAUUGGAAAUGUGAUUGACGAAGAAGAGACAUUCAUCGUAUACAUAUUGGAAAAUACAAACAAAUCCCUCUUCGAUACAAUAAAAUCCUAUAUUUAUACAUGCAAUUUUUUCUUAUACUACUUAUAGAGAGUCUUUAUUAUAUUUGUAGAAUUUAAGAGAUGACUUUUCAUAAGAGUCAUGUUUUUUCAUGAAUAUAUGACUUUUCAUAAUAGUCAUGUCCUUUCAUGAUCAGAUGAUUUUCAUAAGAAUCAUGUUCUUUCAUGAUGUGUCAAUUUAAUAUAAAAAUUCUACAUUACAAAAAAUUCAACAAUACUAACAUCAAUUAUUAGGAUUAUUAAUGUGGUAAAAUAGUAUUAGAAAAAAUAAUCUUCAAUAGUCAUAUCAAGCAUUGUUUUCUUAAUAGAUAUGUCAAGUUCAAAUGUGAUAAAUGAAAAGUAGAUUAAACUAAAAAGUAUUAAAAGAGUUAAAAGAUUUAAAUUAAUAAAUACACUCUUUUUGUUUAGGAUUUUUUUAAAAGUGUGUAAAUAAAAUAUAAACUAAUAAUAUGAAGGAAUAGAUUCAUUAAUAAUUGUGCACAGAUAAUUUCUCUCUUAAUAUUAUGCACAUAUGGAAUAAACCAAAAAAAAAAAGUUUUAAAAUAUAACAACUAAUCAUGAAAUGACAAAGCACACAUUUUGAUACCUCAAAUUUAAACUCACUCUUCUAUUAUAGUAAAUUUCAUUAUUUUCAACAAAUAAAGUUCUUAGUCUUUGGUGACUUCGAAAAUUAAUUAGAACAUUAAUGCUUAACUUUAUCAAUAAGACAGGAAAAAUAAUAGAGACAAUAUCCUAUGAAUUUUCCUAGGAAAAACAUUUGUAAUAAUUCAAAUGAAAUGUUGCUAUUCGUGUGUUGCCCCUCAUGUACUAGUGGCAUUAUUUUAUACUUUUAGAAAUAAAUUUGCACUGCCUAAACCCUUACUACUACUUAAUAGAGAAGGAUUGUUCAAAUGCGUAUAAUAAAUAUUCUUAUUCUUAAUUAUCCUUUUUUUGUACGAUCAGUGAAAUGGAAUGAAUCAAGAAUUAGGACGAAUAUGAUUCUAAUGUAAUAAGAAAUGAAUUUUGGAAUUUUCCCUACCUAAACCCUUACAAUAAUUGAUAGAGUAAGGAUAGUUCAAAUUCGCAUAAAAAAAUAUUUUUUUUCUUAAUUAACUCCUUUCUGCACGCUAAAUGAAAUUGAAUGAAUAAAAAGUAUGAAUGGAUUUGACUCAAUAUCAUAAUAAUAAUAAUAAUAAUAAUAAUAAUAAUAAUAAUAAAAACUUAACUUAGUCCUAAAUCGACCUCAAAAUAGCUCAUUAAGAGUCACUGCCCAAGAUCGUAAGGGAGGGCUUCAUGCAAUGUAUCAAUCUUGUAUAAUUAUGUAUAUAUGAUGUAUAACUAUGUAUCAGAGAUGUAUAUACAUCCAUAUACUCUGUUUGUACAAUGUUUAUGCAUUGUAGUUCAUCUUCCUCAACAAUGUGUUUUCUUGAAUCUCAACCAAUUCAAAUCUUCUCUAAAUAUGACUCAACACUUUAUGAACGUGCAUAAUUUUAUGCAUAUCGUGCCUCUACGGUAUACAAAAACGAACAGAAAACCGAACCAAAUCGCAAAUCGAGUUAACCCCCCAAAAAAACCCGAUUAGUGGUUUGGAAUUGAAAAAAAAAAUUGACUGUAUUUGGUUUUAACUAGAAAAAAUCAACUCGACAUUAUAUAUGUUAUUUUAAAUUUAUUUUAUGUAUAAAAAUAUUUACUUUGAUAUGAUUUUAAAAUAUUUUUUGUAUUUUUUCAUAAUUUUAUAAAUUUAAUAUACUUAGAAUUUGAAAUGUCCAACAACUAUUAUAGUUCAUAGAUGUUGAUAAUUAUAAUAAUACUUAAAUCAUAAUUAAAUUUAUAAUAAUGCAAAAAGAAAAUCAAUUCAACACUAAGAAUGACAAUAAUAUUGAAAAUUUGUUCUUUAGUUUUACAUUAGUUUAGAUAAUUAACAUACAUAGUUAAUUCUAAUUUUUCUUAAAUAGUUAGUAAUGUAACUAAUACUUAUUAAACUUAUUUUAACAUGAUUUAAUACUUUCAAAUUACGAUCAUUUUCAUUAUGACUUUACAAUAUUUAUUUUGUAUGAUGAUUUCAUUAUUAUUUAAUGUAAUAUUUUUGAGUCAUCAAUACUCCUCUCAUGUUUUGUAUAUUUUUUUUAAGAAACACCUUAGAUAAUAGUACUUUGGUUGGACUAAAGAAAAAUCUGAAGCACAAGUUAAUUAUAUGUUUGUAUGUAAACUUUACCGAAAAAUUCAAAAAACUGAAAAAAGUUCAAGGUUUAUUAUUUGGUCUGAUUUAUAAAUUUAAAAAUUCGCCACAAUGAUUUCGUUUGAUAUUUGUAAAAGCCGAACCAAUCCGAGGUUGAAAAACUCAAAAUAUUCAAAUUUUAUAAGUUUGGUUUGGUUUAUAAAUUUAAAAUUUUUAUACAAAUGAUUUAGUUUGGUAUUUGAAAAACCCGAACCAACACAAUCAUGUACACCCCUACGUGCCCCAAAGAAAGGAAAAACAAAUAAUUAUUUUUAACACAAAGAAUUGAUUGAAUUCGUUGUGUACUUUCCUUUUUUGAUAUACAUAGAUUAUAUAUUAAUUAUACACUUAUUAUUCAUGAAUUAAAUACAUACUCACUUCGUCCUAAUUUAUGUGACAUUGUUUCCUUUUUAGUCAGUGUCAAAAAGAAUGUCACAUUUCCUUAUAUGAUACGACAAGUAUUUAAAGGUACAAUUUCUCUUUUAUCUUUAUUGGUCCUGCUUAAUUUUAAAUAAUACUCUAAUACAUUUAUGAAGAGACAGAAACGUCAAUUCACUUUUGAAGGACAAUAUGGUAAACAAUUCAAAAAGUCUUCAUGUUGAAUGCCUUGAAUUGAGCCUUAGUUAUCUGUCAAUUAUGUAUUUUGGGCCCAAGCCUGUUAGGGCGUAGCUUAGCACUAUAUAUAGACGCUAUGACAAACCCUAUUCUGUAAUUCUGUUUUUGCCUUUCCGUAAUAAAACUGCUCCCCUCUUUCCGUGGACGUAGCCAACUUAUUGGUGAACCACGUAAAUCUGUUGUCUUGUUUUUCGCGUUUAUAUUUUCUCGUAUUAUCUCGAAUUCCGCAUAAUAAAUUGGUAUCAGAGCCUCCCGGUUAAUCGGUGUUCUUGGAGAAUUUCGAGAUGUCUGCUUUGAACGUGAGGUAUCAUUUUCUGAGAAGUGAGAAGAGAAUCAAGGUGAAGAAAGUAGGAACUGCUGAUAAUCUUGCUGAUAUGUUCACAAAGCCGGUUCCACAGAGCAAGUUUCAACACUGUUUGGACUUGCUCAACAUCAGAAGCUGUUAAUUGCCCUGCGGGGCAAUUCUGAGGAAGAGGGGGAGGCCUGGCACUAUCAUAGUGCGUCUGAAGAAUCUGUUUGGAGAAUUCAAGUCAAGGUGGAGAUUUGUUGAAUGCCUUGAAUUGAGCCCUUAGUUAUCUGUCAAUUAUGUAUUUUGGGCCCAAGCCUGUUAGGGCAUAGCUUAGCACUAUAUAUAGACGCUAUGACAAACCCUAUUCUGUAAUUCUAUUUUUGCCUUUCCAUAAUAAAACUGCUCCCCUCUUUCCGUGGACGUAGCCAACUUAUUGGUGAACCACGUAAAUCUAUUGUCUUGUUUUUCGCGUUUAUAUUUUCUCGUAUUAUCUCGAAUUUCGCACAACAUUUCAUUUAUUUUUUGAACUAUGUGUCAGGUCAAAUAAUGUCAUAUAAAAUGGGACGAAUGUGAGUAUAUUAUAUAUCUAUCCACUAUCAGUUUUAUUCCUUGGAUUUCCACAUGUAAAGACAAUAUUUUUUUCUAGCAGCCCCUGUUGGUCCUUUGGUGCCCCCACAAGUAAUCAAGUGGACUGAAAUGUAGUGCCAAUUUUCUCUAGGAAUUUCUGCAGUAAUUCAAAGGAAUAAAUAGAUAAAUAUGGAUUUCCACAUAUAAAAACACAACACAAAAUAAAUAAAAGUUUAAGUUGUGUUGGGAUAUUAAGUCUUGGGUCAACUUUUGUUAGGUAAAUGAGUUUGAUGAUUAGUAUACGCCAAUUAUACGAGAAAUUAUUAUGAUAAUAAUAGUUUAGAAGUUCAAAUAAUAUAUGAAGUUAAAAUUUAAAUUAAGUGUAAUUUUCUAUCGAUUGACAUGUAUGUGAUUAUCUCACUCGCCUCUUUCUUAUCUCCUGUAGACAUGUAGUUAAUACGAUUUUCAUGAUGUUUAUGGGGAUGAGUCACAUAUAUUUGGGUAUUUCGGUCGCCUCUUUCUUUUUUUCGCUCGUAUUUCUCACUAUUUUUUUUAUUUGGUAGCAAAAAUACAUAUAUAUAUAUAUAUAUAUAUAUAUAUAUAGAUUAGUGUAUCUGACUUAAUAUCUGUAAUGAAACUGUAAAUUAGUGAAACUAUAUAUACAUAAUUAUUUCAAACUAUAAAGAAAACUAGUAAAUAUUAUAGAAAUAUUUAUGUAAUUAGAUAAUUUCAGUUUUAUUUCUCGGAUGGUUCUCGCAUUAGAAAGUACCUACUUUCACCUUGGUAUACCUCUAUUGAAUGUGGCAUGUUUCUAAUGUUCUUUUAUCACAUUCAAGUGCAUCGAUGUGCCUUUUCUCAAUCGAAAAUGACAUAGAUAAUUCAAACUUUUAACAGAUGUUAUAAAAUGAGCUUUUUUCCUAAAGUUCAUUAACAAAUUUGAGCGAUUUUCCUUUUAGGGAUAAAAGAAAUUAAAGAAGAAUAAUACUAAUACUUUUCACUAUUUUACACUUAUUAUUCAUAGACUAGGUACAUAUAUUAUAUAUCUGCAAAUUUUAGUUUUAAAUCCUUGAAUGGAUGUUUACUCUUCCAAGAAGGAUCCGAAAUAGCUGCAUGUUUUCGAACACUUGCAACUUUUUUUAUAACAAAGUGAUUGUUUAACAUUAAAUAUAUUAUAGUGGAUGUCAUUUGGAAAAUAAAACUAUAGAAUAUAAUUUUCUGACACUAGAAGUGAUAAUUUUGUUCAUACACAUGGUCUUUUUUCCACAAUAAUUUUUCUAGAAGUUGAAUAGGUCAAUAAUAAAACACUAUAAAUAGAGAGUUGCUUCAAAAGCAGAAAAAUUCAUCAAAUACACUGUCCAAAUACAUCAGCACUUCUUAUAUUUGCAGCCAUGGGAUUCUUGAAAAUCCUUUUUGUUUUCAUCUUUUGUUCAUUCCCAUGGCCUACUAUUCAGAGUAAUCUCGAGACUUAUAUCGUCCAUGUUGAAUCCCCUGAAAGCCUAAUUACUGCUCAAUCAUCGUUAAUGGAUUUAGAUAGCUAUUACCUUUCUUUUUUGCCUAAAACUACUACCGCAAUUAGCUCUAGUGGAAAUGAAGAGGCUGCUACAAUGAUCUAUUCUUAUCACAAUGUGAUGACAGGGUUUGCAGCAAGAUUAACUGCAGAACAAGUGAAGGAAAUGGAGAAAAAACACGGCUUUGUCUCUGCUCAGAAACAGAGGAUUUUGUCUUUGCACACUACUCAUACUCCAAGUUUUCUUGGUUUGCAGCAGAACAUGGGCUUGUGGAAAGAUUCCAAUUUUGGAGAAGGCGUGAUCAUCGGAGUUCUAGACACUGGAAUUCUUCCUGAUCAUCCUUCAUUUAGCGAUGUUGGGAUGCCUCCCCCGCCUGCUAAGUGGAAAGGAGUUUGUGAGCCCAAUUUCACCAACAAGUGUAACAACAAGCUCAUUGGAGCCAGGUCUUACAAACUUGGCAAUGGUUCCCCGAUAGACGAUGAUGGACAUGGUACACACACAGCAAGCACAGCUGCGGGGGCUUUUGUGAAAGGUGCUAAUGUAUAUGAAAAUGCUAAUGGAACUGCAGUUGGUGUUGCUCCUCUUGCCCAUAUAGCCAUAUAUAAGGUGUGUAACUCUGUUGGUUGUUCUGACAGUGAUAUUUUAGCUGCCAUGGAUUCAGCUAUAGAUGAUGGAGUAGAUAUUCUUUCUAUAUCCAUUGGUGGAUCUCUGAGACCUCUUUAUGAUGAAAGUAUUGCUCUCGGGGCGUACAGUGCAACACAAAGAGGCAUUCUUGUUAGUUGCUCAGCAGGCAAUAAUGGUCCUUCGCCUGCCUCAGUAGAUAACUCAGCCCCUUGGAUUCUUACAGUAGGUGCCAGCACGCUUGAUAGAAAGAUAAAAGCUACUGCUAAGCUCGGAAAUGGAGAGGAAUUUGAAGGAGAAUCUGCUUAUCGUCCAAAGAUUUCCAACUCAACAUUCUUCACUCUAUUUGAUGCUGCAAAAAAUGCAAAAGAUCCAUCUGAAACCCCUUAUUGCAGACGAGGGUCACUCACUGACCCUGCUAUAAGAGGAAAGAUAGUAUUAUGUUUAGCAUUCGGCGGUGUAGCCAAUGUUGAUAAAGGACAAGCUGUGAAGGAUGCUGGAGGUGUUGGCAUGAUUGUCAUCAACCCAUCACAAUAUGGUGUCACUAAAUCAGCUGAUGCUCAUGUUCUUCCAGCAUUGGUUGUUUCAGCUGCAGAUGGAAGCAAAAUUCGUGCCUAUACAAACUCAAUAUCGAACCCUGUUGCUACAAUCACAAUCCAAGGAACAGUAAUUGGAGAUAAAAAUGCUCCAAUAGUUGCUGCAUUUUCUUCUCGCGGACCAAGUAAACCUAAUCCUGGGAUCUUGAAACCUGACAUAAUUGGUCCUGGUGUUAAUAUCCUCGCUGCUUGGCCUACUUCUGUGGAUGACAACAAGGACACCAAAUCCACAUUCAAUAUUAUAUCAGGCACCUCGAUGUCUUGCCCACACCUUAGUGGGGUAGCAGCUCUGCUGAAGAGAACACAUCCUGAUUGGUCUCCUGCUGUUAUUAAGUCUGCAAUGAUGACAACCGCUGACACAUUAAACCUUGCCAGUAGUCCAAUACUCGACCAAAGGCUCCGUCCUGCUGAUAUCUAUGCAAUAGGUGCAGGACAUGUUAAUCCAUCGAGGGCAAAUGAUCCAGGACUAGUUUAUGAUACCCCAUUUGAGGAUUAUGUACCUUAUUUAUGUGGUUUGAACUACACAAAUCCACAGGUAGGUAAAUUGUUACGACGCAGGGUGAAUUGCUCGGAGGUUGAAAGUAUCCCUGAAGCACAAUUAAACUAUCCUUCAUUUUGCAUAUCGAGACUUGGAUCAACUCCUCAGACAUACACCAGAACUGUGACCAAUGUUGGUGAUGCCAAAUCAUCUUACACGGUGCAGAUAGCUUCACCUAAAGGCGUUGUCGUGAAAGUUAAGCCCAGCAAGCUAAAUUUCUCGGAGUUGAACCAGAAGCUAACAUACCAAGUGACAUUUUCCAAGACAAUUAACAGCUCAAUGUCUGGGGUUGUUGAGGGAUUCUUGAAGUGGAAUUCUAACAGGCACUCUGUGAGAAGUCCAAUUGCAGUUGUGUUGGCAUUGGCUAAGUAAGUGCACAAAGUAUUCAAACAUUUGAAAAUGCUGUUUGAUUACACAAUAAACGUUCUGUUACUUUUUUCAUUGUUAAAACAAUAAACUUUAUGUUCACAGCUGAUUGAAGAAAGCAAAAGCAUAUCCUCUUUGAUAUUAGUGUCCUUGCUCUGCUUAACUUUUCUUCUUGAUUUCAUUUUUGUUCGACAAAUAAAGUGACUUCUCGAGAUAAUAAAUAUUAGUUAAGUGACCGAGUAAGAAUCUCAGUUCAUACUUAAAUUUGGGAAAUUUGUUGUCACCUACAUAAUAACACACCCUUUGAUCCAGAAUAUUGACAGUGACUUCAAAUAUAAAGUCUUAGUCUUUGGUGACUUCAAAAAGUAAUUGUGACGUCAAUGCUAAAAUUAUUAAUAGGACAAUUAAAAUAAUGGAGACAUAUCCUAUGAAUUUCCUAGAAAUCGAUUGAACUUUUAUUUUUUAACAUAUUAUUGAAGGGGACUAAUGUACAUCAUCCAUGGUACAUAUUGUCUUGCAAAGAAAUGAAAUUAACCAAUACAUAUUUUGUUUUGUUAUAAUUUUCAAAAAAAGAAAAAAAAGAACUAGAAUUAUAGAAUGCAUUGUUGCUAUUUGCGUGUGGCCCAUCAUGUAUUGGUGGCAUUAUUAUACUAAGAAAUGAAUUUUCCCUACCUAAACCCUUACAACUAGUUAUUAGAGUAAGGGUUGUUUAAAUUCAUAUAAAGAGAUGUUCUCAUUCUUAAUAAUUUUUCUACUCGCCAAGUGAAAUGAAAUGAAUCAAGAAUUAGGAUGAAUAUAACUCUAAUAUAAUUAGAAAUGAUUUUUUCGUACCUAAACCCUUAAAACUAGUUAAUAGAGUAAGGAUCGUUGAAAUCUACAUAAAUAGAUAUUCUCAUUCUUAAUCAACCCCUUUAUGCACGCCCAAUGAAAUUGAAUUAAAUAAAAAAUUAGAUGAAUUUAUCUCGCUUUAAAAAGUACCAACUUUUUUUACCUUGGUCCACUUUGAUUGAAUAAGUCAUUUUUCUAAUGUUCUUAUCGCAUUGAAGUGCAUGGAUGAGCCUUUUCUCAACUGUAAAUAACAUAGAUAAGUCAAACUUUUAACGAAUAUCAUGUAUAAGACCUUUCAUAAAGCUUGGCGAUAUUUUAAGGCUUUUCCUUUUAAGGAAAAAAAAUAAAUUAUUUUUAACGGAUGUCAUAGAUGAGCCAUUAAUUAAAGCUCGAUGACAUAUUUGACUCUUUUCCCUUUUAGGGAAGAAAAGAAAAUAAAGAAGAAUAAAACUAUAGAAUAUAGUUCAAUUUAGCUAGUCUCAUUCACACUACUAACCUUUCUUUUCUUCUCCACAUGGUCUUUUUGCCACAAUAUAAUAGUUUUUUUUCUAGAAAUUGAAUAGGUCACUAACAAAACACUAUAAAUAGAGUUGCUUCAAAGCAGAUAAAUUCAUCAAAUAAACUUUCUAAAAACAUAAUCAGUUCUUGUAUUAGCAGCCAUGGGAUUCUUGAAAAUAUUUCUUGUUUUCAUCUUUUGUUCUUUCCCAAGGCCUACUAUUCAGAAUGAUCUCGAGACUUAUAUAGUCCAUGUUGAAUCUCCUGAAAGCGUAAUUUCUACACAAUCAUCGGUAACGGAUUUAGAUAACUAUUAUCUAUCUUUUUUGCCUAAAACUACAACAAUCAGCUCAAGUGAAAAUGAAGAGGCUGCUAGCAUGCUCUAUUCCUAUCACAAUGUGAUGAAAGGGUUUGCAGCAAGAUUAACAGCAGCACAAGUGAAGGAAAUGGAGAAUAAACACGGCUUUGUCUCUGCUCAGAAACAGAGGAUUUUCACCUUGCAUACUACUCAUACUCCGAACUUUCUCGGUUUGCAACAGAACAUGGGCUUGUGGAAGGAUUCCAACUAUGGGAAAGGCGUGAUCAUCGGAGUUAUAGACACUGGAAUUUAUCCUGACCAUCCUUCAUUUAGCGACUUUGGGAUGCCUCCUCCGCCUGCUAAGUGGAAAGGAGUUUGUGAGUCUAAUUUCAAAACCAAGUGUAACAACAAGCUCAUUGGAGCGAGGUCUUACCAAAUUGCUAACGGUUCCUUGAUAGAUGAUACUGGACAUGGUACACACACAGCAGGCACAGCUGCAGGAGCCUUUGCAAAAGGUGCUAAUGUAUUUGGGAAUGCUAAUGGCACUGCUGUUGGUGUUGCCCCUCUUGCCCACCUAGCCAUAUAUAAGGUUUGCAAUUCUGAUGGCGAGUGUCCUGACUGUGAUAUUUUAGCUGCCAUAGAUUCAGCUAUAGAUGAUGGAGUAGAUAUUCUUUCAAUAUCCUUGGGUGGAUCUCCGAGCCCUUUCUAUGAUGACUGUAUCGCUCUUGGGGCAUACAGUGCAACAGAAAGAGGCAUUCUUGUAAGUUCUUCUGCAGGCAAUGAAGGUCCUUCUGUUGCCUCAGUGGAAAAAGCAGCCCCGUGGAUUCUUACAGUAGGUGCCAGCACACUUGAUAGAAAGAUAAAAGCUACUGUUAAUCUCGGAAAUAGAAAGAAAUAUGAAGGAGAAUCAACUUAUCGUCCAAAGAUUUCCAGCUCAACAUUCUUCACUCUAUAUGAUGCUGCAAAAAAUGCAAGUGAAACUCCUUAUUGCAGACCAGGAUCACUAACUGACCCUGCUGUAAGAGGAAAGAUAGUAUUAUGUCUACAAGAUGAUAUUGUUUCCAAUAUUGAAAAAGGACAAGCUGUGAAGGAUGCUGGAGGUGUUGGCAUGAUUAUCAUCAACCAGCCAAGUUACGGUGCCACUAAAUCAGCUGAUGCUCAUGUUCUUCCAGCAAUGGAUGUUUCAGCUGCAGAUGGAACAAAAAUCAUUUCCUAUAUGCACUCAACAUCAAACCCUAUUGCUAGAAUCACAUUCCAUGGAACAGUAAUUGGAGAUAAAUAUGCUCCCAUUGUAGCUGCAUUUUCUUCUCGCGGACCAAGUGAAGCUAGUCCUGGAAUCUUGAAACCUGACAUAAUCGGUCCUGGUGUUAAUAUCCUUGCUGCUUGGCCUACCUCUAUGGAUGGCAACAAAAACACCAAAUCCACAUUCAAUAUUAUAUCAGGCACCUCAAUGUCUUGCCCUCACCUUAGUGGCGUAGCAGCUCUGCUGAAAAGCACACAUCCUGAUUGGUCUCCUGCUGCUAUAAAGUCUGCAAUCAUGACAACCGCUGACACGUUAAACCUUGCCAAUAGUCCAAUACUAGACGAAAGACUCCUUUUUGCUGACAUCUAUGCAAUUGGUGCAGGACAUGUUAAUCCAUCGAGGGCAAAUGAUCCAGGACUAGUUUAUGAUACUCCAUUUGAGGACUAUGUAGCUUAUUUGUGUGGUUUGAACUACACAAAUCCACAGGUAAGUAAACUCUUACAACGCAAAGUGAAUUGCUGGGAGGUUGAAAGUAUCCCUGAAGCACAAUUAAACUAUCCUUCAUUUUCCAUAUCCGGACUUGGAUCAACUCCUCAGACAUAUACCAGAACAGUUACCAACGUUGGUGACGCCGAAUCAUCUUACAAAGUGGAGAUAGCUUCACCAAAAGGUGUUGUCGUGGAAGUUGAACCCUCCGAGCUGAAUUUCUCCGAGUUGAACCAGAAGUUAACAUACCAGGUAACGUUUUCCAAGACAAUCAGCAGCUCACAGCCUGAGGUUGUUGAGGGAUUCUUGAAGUGGAAUUCUAAUACGUACUCUGUGAGAAGUCCAAUUGCAGUUGUGUUAGUAUUGACUACAUAAGUGCAGAAAAUGCUGUUUGUUUUCACUGUAUACUUUAUUUUACUUUUUCAAUCUUUUAUUACUAUUUUGAUUUUCACUGGUCUUUAAUAAUUUUAUCAUUAUGAAAUAUUGUUUCAAUGUUUGUUCACAGCUGAUUAAAUAAUAUGAAACCAUUGCUUUUCCUUUAUCAUUACAUUUUAUAUAUUUAUUUUCUUUUCUUUCUUGAUUUCAUUAUGUUCAUAGAAAAAAAAACGACUUUUUGAGAUAAUAAACAUAAGGUGAGUGACCAUGUGAGAAUUUUUGUUAUUACUCGAAUCUGAGAAAUUUGUUGUUAGUUACCUAAUAAUGUAGCCUUUAAUCAUGACUCCGAAUCUUGAUUGUGACAUACUUACUUCUAUUUUUCUUAUAUGAAUAACUUGAUUAAAAUGUAAUUAUCUUCGAGAAUAAAAAGUUUGUUAUGUUUAAUACCUUUAGUUUGACCGGUAUCGAUCUUAAUUGUAGUUUCUUUUCAUUAGCAAAUUGCCUAACGCUCUUUUUUUUUUUUUUUUUUUGUGAACAAUGUAUCUUAUUGUUGUGAUAUUAUUAACCAUGUGAUUUAUUUGAAGUGUUUUAUUGAUCCCUGGUAAAGAUUAGUUGUUUUAUUUUAUUUAUUAUAAUAAAGUUUCUAAUUGAUUAAGUUAUUAUGUUUAUAUGUGACUCCUUUGUUUAGUAAAUGAUUUUGUGUAUGAAGUUAUUUAAUUCAUACACAGAAUAUUAAAAUUGUCGGUUCUUGUAAGUUACUAUCAUUGUUCACAAUCAAAGAUGAGGUAGGACAGAAUAUUGAUGCUUGUAUCACAAGAUUAAAAAUAAUUCGAUCUUAAUUAUGAGUAAUUCUAACUUCUUGUAUUAGUACAUUUUUUUAUGUAUUAAAUGAACCAAAUAGUGAUAUUAUUUUUUAUUCUAAUAUUAAUAAACAAUAUCUUUAGUCCAUUACAUGAACUGAUAUUCUUAAUUUAAUAUAAUUAUUAUGAUCUAUGUAGUUUAAUUUAUUAUUUUAAUCUAUUAAAAUGUGAGACUCUAUUACGAGUCAAUAUAUUUUUAAUAGAUUGAAUAAUGAAAAAUCACAUAAAUAAAUAAUAAUUGAUUAAUAUAACCAUGUCUCAAAUUUGAGAUAGAAGAUACCCCAUUAUAAUUACUUAUAAGUUUUUCAUAUCAGACCCAGGAUUCGAUUUUCAUGUGAGACCCAGGAUUCGAGAUAAGAGAUAAGUUAAGUAUAAAAUAGAGGGUUAAACUAGUUAGUUAAUUAAAAUUUUUUCUGAAGUUUAUUUUAAUUGAUUAGUAUCGAUAAAUUUAAUGUGGAAAAUUAAAUAAAUUGUAGUAGUAAAUUUCGAAAUUAAAUUGCGAAGUAUAAUUACAAAUUUUAUUGGUACAAACUGCAAUAUGUAAUUUUAUUAAAAUAUGGUUAAUUCAUGUUUUUAUGAACUAAUAUUAUAAUGGAAAUUUACGAUACUAAAAUUGUGAUUUAUGUUGUAUUUGACUAAUUGAUAAGUUCAACAACCAUUAUGGAACAAGUAUUUCUUUUAUUUUUGUCAUGAAUGAAUUAAUAACUUUAUUUUGUUCAGUGCCGAGUUAACUGACACAGAAGAUUAAUGACAGAAUCAUUUUUUCUUUUCCGACCUUUUAAUUUUUGCCUUGUUCAUUCGAAUGAAAAUCCACGAAAAAUUAUAAAUUUUCUAAAAACAUUUUUACCAAAUCAACUAGGGAAACAAAAAAAUGGAGUAUGGAGCCUAAAGGGUACAAAAUAUUAAUAAAAAUUUCAAAAUGGUAUAUAAAAUUUUAUAUUAACCAAAACAGUAAAAUCGCUGUAUCAACAGCUAUUUACUUCCCCGGAAAAAGCAAAAUCGCUGCUUUUUUUUUUAAAAAAAAAUGAAAUCGCUACCUAGGCAGCGAUUUUUAAAAAAAGAUUUUUUUUUUAAAUGGGGAAGUCGCUGCCUGGGCAGCGACUUUUAUAAAAAAAAAUAUUUUGAAAUGUGCAAGUCGCUGCCCAGGCAGAGACUUGUAUAAUUUUUUUUAAAAAAAUUUUAAUUUUUUUUCUUAAAAUAAAUGUGGAAUUUUUUUUAAAAAAAAAUUCUUUUUAAAGCAGCAAUUUUAUAAGAUAAAAAAAAAGUUAUAAUAUCUUUUUUUAUAAAAUUGCUACUUUAAAUUUUAUUUUUUUAAAAUAAUUAUUUAUGGAAAAUCGCAGCGAUUUUCAUAUUUUAAAAAAAAAUUAUAAAUUCGCUAACUGAUUUACAUAUUUUUUAAAAAAAAUUAUAAAUCGCUGCGUAGGCAGCGAUUUAAAAAAUUUAUAAUUUUUUUUAAAAUAUGAAAAUCGCUGUGAUUUUCCAAAAAUAUUACCCAAUUUAUAAAUUUAUAAAUUUUUUAAAUCGCUGCGAUUUUCCACAAAUAUUUUUUUUAAAAAAAUAAAAUUUAAAGUAAAAUUAUAAAAUUAUUGCUUUAAAAAGUCUUUUUUUUUAAUUUCCACAUUGUUUCCACAUUUUUUUAAAGAAAAAAAAUUAAAAAUUUCAAAAAAAAUAAAAAAUUAUACAAGUCGCUGCCCAGGCAGCGACUUUGCACAUUUCAAAAAAAAAAAAUUUUAUAGACUUCCUCAUUUAAAAAAAAUUCUUUUUUUUUAAAAUCGCUGCCUAGGCAGCGACUUUUUUUUAAAAUAAAUUAAAAUCGCUGCCUAGGUAGCGAUUUCAUUUUUUUAAAAAAAAAAUUCACAUUUUGCAAAAUCGCUGCCUCGGCAGUGAUUUUGCUUUUUCGGGGAUGUAAAUCGUUGUUGAUGCAGCGAUUUUGCCGUUUUGGUUAAUAUAAAAUUUUAUAUACCGUUUUGAAAUUUUUGUUAAUAUUUUGUACCCUAAAGGGUCCGUACUCCAAAAAAAAUGUAGCAUUAAAUGGUAUUAUAUUUAGUUAUAAUGUGAAUUCAUGAUAUUGAAUAAUAUUUUUUCUCUUCAAAUUCUAACCCUUAUACUAGUCAUACGUCUAUUCUCUUAAUUGCUACAAGUAAUAUAACGAGAUAGGAUUCUUUUUUCGAGUUGCAAGUGGUGAACUUUUUGGAACAAAAUGAGAAAUUACGAAAAACAAUGUUCACUAUUUAAAUUUUAUGGUCACAUUUUGGCAGAACAUACAUAUUUAGUUUAAAGAGAAAAAUCAAAUAAUUUGCAUGCCUGAUUCAAUUCGGUGGCAACACCAUAAUUUUAGUGAAAUAACAAUUAAACUACUAAAAAUAUUAAAGAAUGUAAUACAUAACUCACAAUGUCAUGGAACAUUUCCAAAGUCAAGAAAAUAUUAAAAAAUAUUAUCUGUAUUUUUAGUAUCUAAAUUAAUAUAGUCCAUAAUGUUUUAAAGUAUAGAUAUGUAGCUAUUGAAAAAUGAUUAAUUAAGCUAUAAUAAUUUUAAAAAAAUAAUUUGGACGUGUCUAAAUCUUGAUCAUCCUAUCUUAAAGGGGCCAGGUGUAACGUCUCUUUCUCAUGCUUAAUAAAUUUAUAGUUUACUCUUAAAUAAUUUAUUUAUUUAUUUUUGUAAGAAAAACAUAUUAUCCUAUUGAAGAUGAAGUUAUGACUUUUGGAGAAUAUAAGUAAUGUACACUAGAUAUAUGAUACAAUUACCCAAACACAGAAUCUAAAAUUUUAACUUAAUGAGUUUUAUUUUUAAAGUUCUUAACAUUGAGUUCACUACAAUUUUAAAAUUAUGGUUGAUUUUGUCAAAUUAUUGGAAAAGAUCAAAACUUAUACAUAAAACUAAUUAGAAGUUAUUAUAUUUUAUUAUAGAAGUAGUUAACAUCAGCCUGUUGGGAUUUUUAAAUUUUGUUGAAAUUCCCUAUCACUAUCUCAGCGUUAGUUAAGAGGGAUGCAAUAGGGGAAUGUUAAAUGUACAUGUAUUAUACAAUUUUGGGGAAAAGCUAAUAACAUUAUUUCAAGUCAUAUUGUACUUUUAUUAACUUUUAUUAGUAUUAUUAUUAUAGUUCUGGUGUCUAGAUUAAUUUAUCGUACCUCAACUAAUUUCACAUCAUACUAGGUCAAAAUUCUAUUGUGGCAUCCGAAAGUAUUAGAAGGUAGCAUGUGGCGAUUGAGGCUAGUCAACUCCAGCUCAACAAUGCUCAGUUUGACUAAGUGCUCACUCAAAAGGCAAAAGUUAUGGCAGAGAUUGUGGGUUAUCCUAGGGUUCCAAGCUCUCAAGUGAUUUUUUUGGAUAUAUUUCUAGACUUUUUUAGGUCCCCGCAAGGAUGACCUAACGAUCGAGCCAUCACACAUUGGAGUAACCUUCUAGAGAUAUCAGGUUAAAAACUCAGCUACUAUACACUAGGUGUGUGAGUCCGUUAGCUCUAACAUAUAUGAACACCUUGGCAAAAAUCACGUCCAUUAAGAAAUCAACAAACAUAAUGUGUAGUUUACUAAACUACCCUUGUUAUAUACUUCUCUUAAAAAUUGAACACUAUUAAUAUAAGGGUCUGGUUGAAAAACAUACUAAUUUUCGUCUUGAAUUUUUAACGUCACACUUAUUUUGGGACGGAGUGAGUACUUGUGAGAUGAACAAGACACCUCAUGUAUUAGUUAAGUCAUGCUCAAGUUGGCUUGAACACUACUUAAAAAGUAUAUUGUAGAUUAAUGACUUCAUCUAUAUGAUGUUGCUAUGCCAACUUCAUUAAAAAAAUAGAAGUUAAGUAUAAUAAAAUCGUUUUAGCGUAUAGAAUGACCAAUUCACAUUCUAUUUUCUAUUUAAUCCAAGAAUGACUAUUUCACAUUUCUAAAACUACCUUCUGACUUGCAAAUAAAAAAAUAAACUUCCAAUUUGUAUAUAUAGCCUCAAUGAAAAUUCAAAAAACACACACCACCAAAUAACAUCUCUUUCUUUAGUAGUAAAAUUAUGAUGGCUCAAUACAGUUCAGUUCUUACUAUAAUUGGGCUGAUUUGUGUGCUCUUUUCAUUUACUACUCAUGCAGCUGAACAGAACAAUUCACAAAUCUAUAUUGUUCAUUGUGAGUUCCCUUCUGGGGAAAGGACUGCAGAAUACCAAGAUUUAGAAAGCUGGUAUCUUUCUUUCUUGCCUACAACAACCUCCGUUAGUUCUCGUGAGGCACCACGUUUGAUAUAUUCCUAUCGAAAUGUCUUAACAGGCUUUGCAGCUAAGUUAUCAGAAGAAGAUAUAAAGGAAAUGGAAAAAAAGGAAGGAUUUGUUUCUGCACGCCCCCAGCAGUUUGUUAGUUUACACACCACACAUAGUGUCAAUUUCUUGGGAUUGCAACAGAACAUGGGGUUCUGGAAAGACUCUAAUUAUGGGAAAGGUGUGAUCAUCGGAGUUCUAGACACUGGAAUUCUUCCUGACCAUCCUUCAUUUAGUGACGUUGGGAUGCCUACCCCACCUGCUAAGUGGAAAGGAGUUUGUGAGUCAAAUUUUAUGAACAAGUGUAACAAAAAGCUCAUUGGAGCGAGGUCUUACCAACUUGGCAAUGGUUCCCCGAUAGAUGGUAAUGGACACGGUACACACACAGCAAGCACAGCUGCAGGAGCCUUUGUGAAAGGUGCUAAUGUAUAUGGCAAUGCUAAUGGAACUGCAGUUGGUGUUGCACCUCUUGCCCAUAUAGCCAUAUAUAAGGUAUGUGGUUCCGAUGGCAAGUGUUCUGACAGCGAUAUUUUAGCUGCCAUGGAUUCAGCUAUAGAUGAUGGAGUAGAUAUUAUUUCAAUGUCCCUUGGUGGAGGUCCAGUCCCUUUCCAUAGUGACAAUAUUGCUCUCGGGGCAUACAGUGCAACAGAAAGAGGGAUUCUUGUAAGUGCCUCUGCUGGAAAUAGUGGUCCAUCCCUUAUCACAGCAGGGAACACCGCCCCUUGGAUUCUUACGGUAGGCGCCAGCACUACUGAUAGAAAGAUAAAAGUUACUGUUACACUUGGAAAUACAGAGGAAUUUGAAGGGGAAGCUUCUUAUCGUCCACAGAUUUCCGACUCAAAAUUCUUCACUCUGUAUGAUGCUUCAAAAGGUAAAGGUGAUCCAUCUAAAACCCCUUACUGCAAACCAGGGUCACUCACUGACCCUGCAAUAAAAGGAAAGAUAGUCAUAUGUUAUCCAGGUGUCGUUUCUAAGGUUGUAAAAGGACAAGCUGUGAAGGAUGCUGGAGGUGUUGGUAUGAUUGCCAUCAACCUGCCAGAAGAUGGUGUCACAAAAUCAGCUGAUGCUCAUGUUCUUCCAGCUUUGGAGGUUUCAGCUGCAGAUGGAAUCAGAAUUCUUACUUAUACAAACUCAAUAUCAAACCCUACAGCUAAAAUCACAUUCCAAGGAACAAUAAUUGGAGAUGAAAACGCUCCCAUAGUUGCUUCAUUUUCUUCUCGCGGACCAAAUAAACCUAGUCCUGGCAUCUUGAAACCUGACAUAAUCGGUCCUGGUGUUAAUAUCCUUGCUGCUUGGCCUACCUCCGUGGAUGACAACAAAAAAACCAAAUCCACAUUCAAUAUUAUAUCAGGCACCUCGAUGUCUUGCCCUCACCUUAGUGGCGUAGCAGCUCUGCUGAAGAGCACACAUCCUGAUUGGUCUCCUGCUGCUAUUAAGUCUGCAAUCAUGACAACCGCUUACACUUUAAACCUUGCCAGUAGUCCAAUACUAGAUGAAAGGUUACUUCCUGCAGACAUCUUUGCAAUUGGUGCAGGACACGUUAAUCCAUCAAGUGCAAAUGAUCCAGGACUAGUUUAUGAUACCCCCUCCGAGGACUAUUUCCCGUAUUUAUGUGGUUUGAGGUACACAAAUGCACAGGUAAGUAAACUGUUACAACGCAAGGUAAAUUGCUUAGAAGUAAAGAGUAUCCCUGAAGCAGAAUUAAACUAUCCUUCGUUUUCCAUAUUUGGACUUGGAUCAACUCCUCAGACAUACACAAGAACUGUGACCAACGUUGGUGAUGUUGCAUCAUCUUACAAAGUGGAGAUAGCUUCACCUAUAGGAGUUGCCAUAGAAGUUGUACCCACAGAACUAAAUUUCUCCAAGUUGAACCAGAAGUUAACAUACCAAGUGACAUUUUCCAAGACAACCAGCAGUUCAGAAGUUGUGGUUGUUGAGGGAUUCUUGAAGUGGACUUCUACUAGGCACUCUGUGAGAAGUCCAAUUGCAGUUGUAUUGGUCUAGUGAAAAAUUGGCUAUAUAUAUAAGUGCAUAAAGUACUCGAACAUUUGAUUGUUUUACUGUAUACUCUAUGUUACUUUUUCAUUAUUAAACAAAGUGUUUCACUGUUUGUUCACAGCUGAUUGAAGAACAUAAAAGCAUAUCCUCUUUGAUAGAAGUCAUAUUUUCAUUGAUCGUUUCUUUUACUUUUUAUAUGUUCCAUUUUUUUAAGGGAAAAGGGUCCGAUAUACCCCUCAAUUUUGUCAUUUGGAGCUGAUAUAACUCUCGUUAUAAAAGUGGCUCAUAUAUGCCCUUACCGUUAUACAAACGGCUCACAUAUACCCCUGCCGUUACAAAAUGGCUCACAUAUACCCUUCAUUUAACGGAAGUUAAAAAAUUAGUUUUAAAUUUAUAUUUAUUACUUCUAAUUUUAAAAAAAAAAUUAUUUAGGGGUAUAUAUGAUUCUUUUAUCAAAGUUCAAGGUAUAUUUUAAUUUUUUUGAUACAUAAAUUAUUUUUUGACUUCUUUUAUUAUAAUUAUUUGAAUUUCUUAUUCUUAUUUUGUUUUUUCUUUCAUUCCUUAGUUUAAAGAAUAAAAAAAUUAAACUAUAUUUUUGUGUGUAUUGUAAUUUACUCUCGUAUUCGAAGAAAAAAUUUGAUCAUGUACAAUAAGUUUUACAAGAAUAUUAGUGAAACAUAAAUAAAUCUGAUUAUCAAAAUAAUAAUUAUAAAUUAGUCAUUGAAACAAAAAAAAAGUCAAAAAAAAUAUGUUUGAUGAGGAUUAAAUUUACUCAUAUGGGAUUAUAUUUUUUAGAAAAAAUAAUAAAAAUUUAGAUUAAAAUUAUUAUUUUUUUCAUUUCCGUUAGAGGAAAAGGGUAUAUGUGAGCCAUUUGUUUACAAGUAGGGUGGGGUAUAUAUGAGCCACUUUCAUAACAAGGGGUAUAUCAGCUCUAAAUGACAAAGUUGAAGGAUAUAUCAGACACUUUUCCCUUUUUUUUAAAGAAAGAGAGUUCAAAAAUGCCUGUUAAUCUCCAGACUCCAAUUAUAUAUUCCGUUUACAAAGCUAGCAUAUGUAAGAGUUGAGAAAACUUGAUAGCAUUCAUACGAAAAAUAGCUAUUGUCACGAACUUUCAAAUUCCAUUCGAAAACUCCAAGAUAAUGUCCUCAAAUUUCAGUUGUAAAUUUAGAACAUUACAAUCGUGUGACAUGACAUAAUUAUAUUUCUUCAACCCUCUAAUUAUGAAUAUUCUCAGGAGAAACUAAAAUCAGUAUUGAAUAUAUUAAUGAAACAGAAUGAUGCAUAUAGCGAUUUUAAAAAUAAUUUGGAAGUGUCUUCAUCUUGAUCAUCCCAUCUUGAAGAAGUCUGGUGUAAGGUCUAUUUCUCAUGCUUAGUAAAUUUAUAGUUGCAGAUGAGGUUGUGACUUUUCAGGAAUAUAAAUAAUCGUACACUAGAUAGAUGAUACAGUUGAAAGUUAUGAUUUAUAAUUUAAUGUUUAUGAAAAUUUCGGAAUAGGAUCAAUAUUAUCCUUAACUCUGCGAAAUAGACCACUGAUGAUGCCUUCCAUUACAUUUUGGGAUGAAAAGAUGUCCCUGCAGUUAUCCCCAACAGACCACAAGUAUCAUCAAGAGAUAACAACCCAAAUUUUUAGUGAUGUGGCAAGCCACGUGGAACCAAUCCCUUCACUUUACCGUUGACAAUUAAGAUUUACUACAAGAAACUGGACCCUUACCAGCGACUUUUGGAACUUUAUUGCGACUAUUAUCGCCGCUUUCCUAGUUGGCAACUCGUAGGUGGAGGGAUUAGUCUCACGUCACAAAAAAAAUUGGUUUGAUAACUUCUUAAGGUAUUUGUGGUCUCUUAGGAUAAUAACAAAGGUAUUUUUUAUCCCAAAAUAUGACCGAGGGUAUAAGUAAUCUAUUUCGAAUAGUUCAGGUUGACAAGCAUAAAUUUAGUUCAAAGAUUUCACGAUCUGUAGUUAAGGAGGCACCACACAUAUUUUUAUCUCAUUAAAACAAAAGGUCAACUUUAAGUGGUAAUGAUUUGAUUUUUUCAAUAUAUAUUGACAAGGCUCAAAAAUUAUAAAACUUAGAAGUUAAUCUUUUUUAUUAUAGAAAUACUUGACAUCAGACCUGUUGGGAUUUUUUAAACUUUAUUGUAAUUCCCUUUCACUAUCUCAGCGUUAGUUAAGAGGGAAUAUAUAAGGAAAUGUACAUGUAUUUUUCAAAUUUGGGGGAAAAGCUAAUGACAUUAUUGUUUGAGUUAUAUAGUACUUUCUUUUUAUUUUAAUUAUAUUUGUGGUGUAUGAGUUAACUUGUCGCACCUCCACUAAUUUUACAGGAGACUAUGUCAAAAUCUGAUGGUGGCAUCUGUAGUUUACUUAACUACCCUUAUUUUAUAAACAUCUCUUAAAAAUUGAACACUAUUAAGAAAAUGGAGUAUACAUGUAUCAUUCAAAAAGUCAUAUUAUUUUUUGUCUGAAAUCCCUAACAUCACACUUACUUUGGGACGGAGUGAGUACUCGGGAGAUGAACAAGACGCCUCAUGUAUUAGUUAAGGCGUGUUCAAGUUGACUCGAACAUUACUUAAGUAUAUUGUAGAUUGAUGACUUCAUCUAUAUGAUGUUGCUAUUCCAACUUCAUUAGCAAAUAGAAGUUAAGUAUAAUAAAUUUGUUUUAGCGUAUAGAUGACCAGUUCACUUUCUAUUUUCUAUUCAAUCCAAAGAUGACUAUUUCACUUUUCUAAAACUAACUUCUGACUUGCAAAUUAAAAAAUAACUUCCAAUGUGUAUAUAUAGCCUCAAUCAAAAUUCAAAAAGCACACACCAAAUAAUAUUUCUUUCUUUAGUACUAUGAUGCCUCAAUACAGUUCAAUUCUUACUAUAUUUGGGCUGAUUUGUGUGCUCUUUUUAUUUUCCACUAAUGCAACUGAACAGAACAAUUCACAAAUCUAUAUUGUUCAUUGUGAGUUCCCUUCUGGGGAAAGGACUUCCAAAUACCAAGAUUUAGAAAGCUGGUAUCUUUCUUUCUUGCCUGCAACAACCUCGGAUAGUUCUCGUGAGGCACCACGUUUGAUAUAUUCCUAUCGAAAUGUCCUGACAGGUUUUGCAGCUAAGUUAUCACAAGAAGAUAUAAAGGAAAUGGAAAAAAUGGAAGGAUUUGUUUCUGCGCGCCCCCAGCGGCUACUUAAAUUACACACCACACAUAGUGUCGAUUUCUUGGGGUUGCAACAGAACAUGGGGUUCUGGAAAGACUCGAAUUAUGGGAAAGGUGUGAUUAUUGGAGUUAUUGACUCGGGUGUUUUCCCAGAUCACCCCUCAUUUAGCGAUGUCGGGAUGCCACCUAUCCCUGCUAAAUGGAAAGGAGUGUGUGAGUCCGAUUUCGCGACCAAGUGUAACAACAAGCUCAUUGGAGCGAGGUCUUACCAAAUUGCUAAUGGUUCCCCAAUAGAUAAUGAUGGACAUGGUACACACACAGCAGGCACAACUGCAGGAGCCUUUGUGGAAGGUGCUAAUGUAUAUGGCAAUGCUAAUGGCACUGCUGUUGGUGUUGCCCCUCUUGCCCACAUAGCCAUAUAUAAGGUGUGUAAUUCUAAUAGUUGUUCUGACAGUGAUAUUUUAGCUGCCAUGGAUUCAGCUAUAGAUGAUGGAGUAGAUAUUCUUUCAAUGUCCCUUGGUGGAAGUCCAGUUCCUUUCUAUGAAGACAGUAUUGCUUUCGGGGCCUAUGCUGCAACAGAAAGAGGGAUUCUUGUGAGUUGCUCUGCUGGAAAUAGUGGUCCAUCCUACAUCACAGCAUCAAACACAGCCCCUUGGAUUCUUACGGUAGGAGCCAGCACUAUUGAUAGAAAGAUAAAAGCCACUGUUACACUUGGAAAUACAGAGGAAUUUGAAGGGGAAUCUGCUUAUCGUCCACAGAUUUCCGACUCUACAUACUUCACUCUAUAUGAUGCUGCAAAAAGUAUAGGUGAUCCAUCUGAAACCCCUUAUUGCAAACCAGGGUCACUCACUGACCCUGCAAUAAAAGGAAAGAUAGCCAUAUGUCAGGCAGGUGUCGUUUCAAAUAUUGAAAAAGGACAAGCUGUGAAGGAUGCUGGAGGUGUUGGCAUGAUUGUCAUCAACCCAUCACAAUAUGGUGUCACUAAAUCAGCUGAUGCUCAUGUUCUUCCAGCAUUGGUUGUUUCAGCUGCAGAUGGAAGCAAAAUUCUUGAUUAUACCAACUCAAUAUCGAACCCUAUUGCUACAAUCACAAUCCAAGGAACAGUAAUUGGAGAUAAAAAUGCUCCCAUAGUUGCUGCAUUUUCUUCUCGCGGACCAAGUAAACCUAAUCCUGGGAUCUUGAAACCUGACAUAAUUGGUCCUGGUGUUAAUAUCCUCGCUGCUUGGCCUACUUCUGUGGAUGACAACAAGGACACCAAAUCCACAUUCAAUAUUAUAUCAGGCACCUCGAUGUCUUGCCCACACCUUAGUGGCAUAGCAGCUCUGCUGAAGAGCACACAUCCUGAUUGGUCUCCUGCUGCUAUUAAGUCUGCAAUCAUGACAACCGCUUACACGUUAAACCUUGACAGUAGUCCAAUACUAGAUGAAAGGUUACUUCCUGCAGACAUCUUUGCAAUUGGUGCAGGACACGUUAAUCCAUCAAGUGCAAAUGAUCCAGGACUAGUUUAUGAUACCCCCUCCGAGGACUACUUCCCGUAUUUAUGUGGUUUGGGAUACACAAAUGCACAGGUAAGUAGCCUGUUACGACGCACAGUGAAUUGCUUGGAAGUGAAUAGUAUCCCUGAAGCACAAUUAAACUAUCCUUCUUUUUCCAUAUAUGGACUUGGAUCAACUCCUCAGACAUAUACAAGAACUGUGACCAACGUUGGUGAUGCUACAUCAUCUUACAAAGUGAAGAUAGCUUCACUUAUAGGAGUUGCCGUAGAAGUUGUACCCACAGAGCUAAAUUUCUCCGAGUUGAACCAGAAGUUAACAUACCAAGUGACAUUUUCCAAGACAACCAGCAGUUCAGAAGUUGUGGUUGUUGAGGGAUUCUUGAAAUGGACUUCUACUAGGCACUCUGUGAGAAGUCCUAUUGCAGUUGUGUUGGUCUAGUGAAAAAAUUGGCUUGCUUUUACUGUAUACUUUAUGUUACUAUUUCAUUAUUGAAUAAAGUGUCGCUGUUUGUUCACAACUGAUUGUAGAAUAAAAAGCAUAUCCUCUUUGAUAGAAGUCAGUUUUUCGUUCAUCGUUUCUCUUACUUUUUAUAUGUUCCAUUUUUUUUUUAAGACAAGAGUUCAAAAAUGUAUGUUAUCUCCAAUCAUAUAUGUUGUUUACAAAGCUAGCAUAAGAGAUGAGAACACCUUAUAGCAUUCGUACGAAAAAUAGCUAUCGUCACAAACUUUCAAAUUGUAUUGAUAAAACUCCAAGAUAAUGUCCUGAAAUUUCAGUUGUAAAUUUAGAACAUUAUAAUAGUGUGAUAUGACAUAAUUUGAAUAUUCUCAGGCGACACUAAAAUUAUUAAUUAUUGAUUAUAUUAAUGAAAAAGAAUGAUGCAUUAGCGAUUUUUAAAAUAAUUUGAAAGUGUCUUCAUGUUGAUCAUCCUAUUUUGAAGAGGUCUGCUGUAAGGUCUCUUUCUCAUGCUUAGUAAAUUUAUAGUUGCUGAGGCUAUUAAAAUUUAUAAUAUAAUGUUUAUUAAAAUUUUGGAAUAUAGUCAAAAUUGCCCCUGAAUUCUGUGUAAUAGUCUAUUUAUAUCCUCUACUACAUUUUGAGAAAGACCACAAAUACCCUCAAGAGCUAACAAUCCAAAUUUUUAGUGAUAUGGCAAGCCACGUGGAAUUAACCUCUCCACCUAAGUAUUGACAACUAAGAUUCACUACAACAAACUGCACCUUUAGCAGCGACUUUUGGUUUUCGCAUAAUCACUGAAAACCUUUAGUUGCGAUAUUUUAAAAAUUUGUGGCGACUCUUGUUGCCACGAAAGAUCUAAUUUCUCGUAGUAAAUGCUAGUUGGCAACGGUUAGGUGGAAGGAUCAGUCUCAUAUCACUAAAAAUUUGGAUUGUUAACUCUUGAUGGUAUUUGUGGUCUCUUGUGGAUAAUAGCGGUGGUAAUUUUGAUCCAAAAAUAUGACAGAGCGUAUAAGUAGUCUAUCUCGCAUAAUUCAGGCGGACAAGCAUGAAACUAGUUCAAGGAUUCAACGGUAUGGAGUUAAGGAGACACCACAUGCUGAUGCCAUGCACAUGUUUUUUUUCUCAUUAAAAACAAAAGGUCAAAUUAAGUGUUAAUGCUUGAUUUUGUCAAUAUUGACAAAGCUCAAAACGUAUAAUCUUAGAAAUUGGCAUAUUUUAUUACAGAAGUAAUUAACAAUAUCAGGCGGCCAGUUGGGAUUCUUUAAACUUUAUCGUAAUUCCCUUUCACUAUCUCAGCAUUAGUUUACUAAACUACCCUUAUUUUAUAAACGUCUCUUGAAAAUCGAACACUACUAAGAAGAUGGAGUAUAAACUAUUUUUUGUGUUGAAUUCCUAAGAUAACACCUAUUUUUGGGACGGAGGUAGUACUUGCGAGGUGAACCAGUCACCUGAGUUAAGAUGUGUACAAAUUGACUCGACAUUACUCAAGUAUAUUGUAGAUUGAUGACUUCAUAUAUAUAUGAUGCUUAUAUGCCAACUUCAUUAGCAAAUAGAAGUUAAGUAGAUUAAAAUCAUUUUAGCGUAUUGUUGACCACUUUCGAUGGCUUCUAACUUGCAAAUAAAAAAAUAUACUUCCAAUAAGUAUAUAUUCCCUCAAUCAAAAUUCUCAAAACACUUACCAAAUAACAGCUCUUUCACUUGUACUAAAGUUAUCAUGGCUCAGUACAAUUCAAUUCUUAUUAUAAUUGGGCUGAUUUAUGUGUUUUUUCCAUUUACCACUAAUGCAGCUGAACAGAACAAUUCACAAAUCUAUAUUGUUCAUUGUGAGCUCCCUGAUGGGGAAAUGGCAACCAGAUAUCAAGAUUUAGAAAGCUGGUAUCUUUCUUUCUUGCCUGCAACAACCUCGGAUAGUUCUCGUGAGGCACCACGUUUAAUAUAUUCCUAUCGAAAUGUCCUAACAGGUUUUGCAGCUAAGUUAUCACCAGACGAUAUAAAGGAAAUGGAGAAAAUGGAAGGAUUUGUUUCUGCAUGCCCCGAGGAGCUACUUAUUUUACACAGCACACAUAGUGUCAAUUUAAUGGGGCUGUAUCAUAACAUGGGGCUCUGGAAUGACUCGAAUUAUGGGAAAGGUGUGAUUAUUGGAGUUAUUGACGGGGGAAUUUUCCCCGACCACCCUUCGUUUAAUGAUGAUGGGAUGCCACCUCCCCCUGCUAAAUGGAAGGGUGAGUGUGAAUUGAAUGUCACAAAGUGUAACAACAAGCUCAUUGGAGCCAGGGUCUUCCUGAACUCGGGGAUUGAUCCAUGAGAUGAAGAUGGUCAUGGUACACAUACUGCUAGCACGGCUGCUGGACGUUUCGUGUCAGGUGCCAACAUUUUUGGCAAUGCUAAUGGCACUGCCACGGGAGUUAACCUCUUGCUCAUGUUGCUUUUUACAAAGCGUGCUCUGCUAACUUUUGUUCGGUGAGCGACAUUUUGGCUGCAAUGGAUAUGGCUAUUGAAGAUGGUGUGGAUAUUCUUUCGGUUUCCCUUGGUAGUCUAUUUAAUGCUUUCUAUAGAAAAAGCAUUGUGAUUGGUGCAUUUAGUGCUGUGAAAAAGGGAAUCUUUAUCAGCUGUUCUGGAGGAAAUUCAGGACCAUAUAGUUUUUCAAUGUCUAAUGAAGCGCCCUGGAUUCUUACAGUUGGUGCAAGCACUAUCGACAGGAAAAUAAAGGCCACUGUUAUGCUUGAUAACAAUCAAGAAUUCGAGGGAGAAUCAGCUUUGCAACCUAAUGACUUUCCUCCCACACUAUUGCCUCUUGCCUAUCCUGGAAGCAAUGCUAGUGAUUCUGAUGCUAAAUAUUGUACCCCUGCUUCCCUGAACAACACAAUUGUCAUGGAAAAGAUUGUGUUGUGCGAGUCUGGUAAAAUAUCGCAAGCUGAUAAAGGAGAAGCAGUGAAGGCAGCUGGUGGUGCUGCCAUGAUUUUUAUGAACUGAGAAGCCAAUGCUAACACAACAUUGGCCCAGGCUUAUGUCCUUGCAACGACACAUGUUGGUUAUGCUGAUGGUAUAAAAAUCAAAGAAUACAUAGACUCAACACCAACCCCAACAGCCACAAUAGUGUUCAAGGGAACUAUAAUCAGAGAUGAUCGUGCUCCAGUGGUUGCUUCAUUGUCUUCCAGAGGUCCUAGUUAUGCAAAGCCCUGGAAUUCUAAAAUCAGACAUUAUUGGUCCUGGCGUUAACAUUCUAGCAGCUUGGCAUAUUUCCUUGGAGAACAAUACAAACACCAACUCGAGAUUCAACAUGAUCUCAGGCACCUCAAUGUCUUGUCCUCACCUCAGUGGCGUUGCAGCACUACUAAAAAGUGUUCACCCCGAUUGGUCUCCAGCUGCAAUUAAGUCUGUAAUUAUGACAACAGCCAAUGUCUUCAACCUCGGAUCUAACUUAAUCGAGGAUGAAACAUACCUUCCGGCCAAUGUUUUCGCCACUGGUGCAGGCCAUGUUAAUCCGUCAAAAGCAAAUGAUCUAGGUCUGAUAUAUGACGUAGACCAACCGUUUACUUACCUUAUUUAUGUGGUCUAAAUUACAUAGACACAGAAGUUGGAUUCUUUUUUCCGGGAAAAGUUAAUUGUUCAGAGGUUACUAGCAUCUCAGAUGGUCAACUAAAUUAUCCAUCGUUUUCGAUCCAAGUCAGAGUCAACUCAGCAGCUCAAGUAUAUUCAAGAACUGUGAUGAAUGUUGGACAAACCAACUCAACAUACAGAGUUGAAAUUGGUUCACCGCCGAAUCUUGAUGUGAAAGUUGAACCAACUACACUUGUUUUUUCAGAGGUGAAACAAGCAUUGAGCUAUCAAGUGACAUUUACACCUCUGGAUACCAUACCAAACAGUACUUUUAAUCAGGGAUCUCUCAGAUGGAUUUCUGAAAAACACAUUGUUAAUAGUCCAAUUGCUGUUCGAUUUUUCCUUUUCUGAAAAAUAAUUGAAGGAUCUGAUCUCAGUGACACACUCAUUGAGAUUUUUCUUUUGCAAUAAAAUCAUGUUCAAUAUACAUUUCUAUUAAAUAUCCAAAGUACCAUCCCCACCACAUAGUACACUUAAAAGUACAAACUUUUUUUAUAUUACGAACACAAGAAAAAGCAAUAUAUGUACAACACUAAAUCCUUAACACAUAUUUUUACAUGUUAGACCCUUCUUUUUCCCUCAAGUUAAAUAAUUUGUGCAAUAUAGAAGGUAACACAACCAUGCCCUUUUUAAAUAUGUUCUUUAGUAUGGAGCUCAGCGUGAAGCCCUGCAAAAGGCUGCACACCUUCAACUUGUAGAGUGUUUCAAAGAAAAAAAUUAGUUUAAAGAGAAAAAUCGAAUAAUUUGCCUGAUUCAAUUUGGUGACAAAACCAAUAAUUUUAGAAAAUUAAUUUAAUAAUGUAAUACAUAGCUCAUGAUCACAUUGAACAUUUCAAAAUUCCAAAAGAAUAUUUCCAAAUAAGUUAAAUAUGGAAGUAAAUUCAUCUUGAUAUCCUUAUCUUGAAGUGGUCAUCAAGUGUAAGGUUACUUUUUCAUGAUUAGUACCUUUAUAGUUUACUUUUAGUAAAUUAAUAUUUUUAGAAAAAAAGCAUGUUAUCCGGUGAAGAUGAGGUUAUGACUUUUCAAGAAUAUAAAUAAUGAACACUAGAUAGAUAUAUUGUCAUCAAAAUGCGAAUCCAAAAUUUAAACUAAAUAAAUUUUGAUCUUUAGAACUCUUAACAUUGAAUUCAUUAAACUUUAAAAUUAUGAUUUAAAAUCUAAUAUGAUACUAAGACUGCAUCCACUGGUGUUGUCAUGCUUGGUUUUUUCUUGGAAAUGUACUUAGUUUAGUAUGAAAAUAAAUCAAACAUGAAACUAAUUCAAAAUAAAAAUGUCAAAUUAAGUGGUAAUGCUUGAUUUAUUCAAUAUUGACAAAUCUCAAAAUUUAUAAAACUUUGGAAGUUUAGAAUAUUUGUAUUAUAGAAGAAAUUAACAAUAUUUGGAGGGAGGUGUACGCUUGCAACAUUAAUAUAAUUCUCUGUCAUAAUCUCACCAUUAGUCAAGAGGGAUGCUUGUUUUAUUAAUUUUCUUCCGCCUUCAUUGAGAUUUAAACCUGAAACCUCGUGAUUCUCUAUACACUUUAUUGACUAUUACUUGUUUUCAGAACUCAAGUUUAGGUAUAUUUUGGUUCCAAGUAGAUGGCCUAAUGAUCUAGCCAUCAGAGUAACCAUCUGGAGAUUUCAGGUUAAGAAUUCAGCUACGACACUGGUUGUGUGAAUCUGUCUGCUCCAGCCUUUAUGAGAACGGUUACUUUGGUAACAUGUACUUGGGAGUUGAACAAGUCGCCUCAUGUAAGGUGCGUCCAAGUUACCUGGAAUAUUACCUAAAAAGUAUAUUUUAGAGUGAUGACUUCAUCUAUAUGAUGUUGCUCUGCCAAGUUCAUUUUCACAGAGGAUGUUAAAUAGAAUAAAAUCGUCUUAGCGUGUAUCUUCAGGCAUGACUAUUUCAUAUUUCUAAAAUAUCUUCUGACUUGCAAAUAAAAAAGUAAACUUCCAGUAAGUAUAUAUACCCUCAAUCAAAACUGAGAAAUAAUCACCAAAUACCAGUUGUUUCACUAGUACUUAAGUUAUGGUGGCUCAAUACAGGUCAAUUCUCUCUAUAAUUGGGCUGAUUUGUGUGCUAUUUCCAUUUACCACUAAUGCAACAGAACAGGACAAUUCACAAAUCUAUAUUGUUCAUUGUGAGUUCCCUGAUGGGAAAAGAUCUACCAAUAAUCAAGAUUUGGAAAGCUAUUAUCUUUCUUUCUUGCCUGCAACAACCUCAGAUAGUUCUCGUGAAGCACCACGAUUGAUAUAUUCCUAUCGAAAUGUUAUAACAGGUUUUGCAGCUAAGUUAUCACUAGAAGAUUUAAAGGAAAUGGAGAAAAUGGAAGGAUUUGUCUCUGCACGCCCCGAGGGGCUACUUGAUUUACACACCACACAUAGUGUAAAUUUCAUGGGGUUGAACCAGAACAUGGGGUUCUGGAAUGACUCGAAUUAUGGGAAAGGUGUGAUCAUUGGAGUUAUUGACACGGGAAUUUUCCCGGACCACCCUUCGUUUAGCGAUGAUGGGAUGCCACCUCCCCCUGCUAAAUGGAAGGGUAUAUGUCAGUUUAAUACCACUAAGUGUAACAACAAGCUCAUUGGUGCGAGGUACUUCAGCUACACGGGAAAUGAUCCAUGGGACGAAAAUGGACAUGGUACACAUACUGCUAGCACAGCAUCUGGACGUUUCGUUCCAGGUGCUAACAUUUUAGGCAAUGCUAAUGGCACAGCUAUGGGUGUUGCACCUCUCGCUCAUGUUGCCAUUUACAAAACGUGCUCUGCUAUUGGUUGUUUUGGGAGCGAUAUUUUGGCAGCUAUGGAUAUGGCUAUUGAAGAUGGUGUCGAUAUACUUUCAAUUUCCCUUGGUAGUCGAUCUAGACAAUUCUAUGAAGAUGUCAUUGCACUUGGUGCAUUUAGUGCUAUGGAAAGGGGAAUCUUUGUCAGCUGUUCUGCUGGAAAUUCAGGACCAUACACUUUUUCAGUAUCUAAUGAUGCGCCCUGGAUUCUCACAGUUGGUGCAAGCACUAUCGACAGGAAAAUAAAGGCCACUGCUGUGCUUGGAAACAAUCAAGAAUUCGACGGAGAAUCAGCCUUUCAACCUAGUGACUUUCCUUCAACACUGUUGCCUCUUAUCUAUCCUGGAAGCAAUGAUAGUGACAUUCUUGCUCAGUAUUGUUACCCUAGUUCGCUGAACAACACAAAUGUCAUGGGAAAGAUUGUGUUGUGUGAGGCUGGUAUAACAAGAGCAGUUGAUAAAGGAAUAGCAGUGAAGGCAGCUGGUGGUGCUGCCAUGAUCAUUAUGAAUCCAAAAUCCUGGGCUAACACAACAUUUGCUGAAGCACAUGUCCUACCCGUGACACACGUUACCUAUGCUGAUGGUCUAAAAAUCCAAGCGUACAUAAACUCAACAACAACCCCCACUGCAACAAUCGCAUUCAAGGGAACUACAAUCGGAGAUAAUCGUGCUCCAGUGGUUGCUGGAUUUUCUUCCAGGGGUCCAAGUUAUGUAAGUCCUAGAAUUCUGAAACCGGACAUUAUUGGUCCUGGUGUUAACAUUUUAGCAGCUUGGCCUGUUUCCUUGGAGAACAACACAAAUACCAACUCGACAUUCAACAUGAUCUCAGGCACCUCAAUGUCUUGUCCUCACCUCAGUGGCGUUGCAGCACUACUAAAAAGUGUUCACCCCGAUUGGUCUCCAGCUGCAAUUAAGUCAGCUAUUAUGACAACAGCCGAUGUCUUAAACCUCGGAUCCAACUUAAUCGAGGACGAAACUUACCUUCCAGCCGAUGUCUUUGCCACAGGUGCCGGUCAUGUUAAUCCAUCAAAAGCAAAUGCCCCCGGCCUGAUAUAUGAUAUCAAGCCAUCUGAUUACUUACCUUAUUUAUGUGGUUUGAAUUACACAAACAGACAAAUUGCAGUCAUUCUGCAGCGCAAAGUUAAUUGUUCAGAGGUUACGAGUAUCUUAGAAGGUCAACUAAAUUAUCCAUCGUUUGCAAUUCAAGUUAAAAGCAACUCAGGAGUUCAAGUAUAUUCAAGAACUGUGACAAAUGUAGGACAAGCCAACUCGACAUACCGAGUUGAUAUUGAUUCACCGCAAGGCCUUGAUGUGAAAGUUGAACCAACUACACUUGUUUUUUCAGAUGUGAAACAAAAAUUGAGCUAUCAAGUAACAUUUACACCUUUUGCUGCACCAAGUACUACAUAUACUCAGGGAUCUCUUAGAUGGAUUUCUGAAAACCACAUUGUUAGGAGCCAAAUUGCUGCUUGGUUUUCUGAUUAUUUGUGAAGAAACAAAUGAAGGAGCUGAUCUCAGUGACAUACUGAUCAAGAUUUUUCAUUUGCAAUAAAACCAUCUUAAAGAUGUUAACAUUGGUUUAUUAUCCCAUAUGUUUACUCUUGUGUUCAUAUGUUCCACCCCACCUUGUCAGCCUCACCCUCCACAGACCACACUUGUAAAACUACACUGAGUAUGUUAUUUUUGUUGUUUGCAAUAAAAACAAAUAUUAUGUUUAUCUUUUUCGCUAUAACUGGGCUGAUUUAUGUGCUCUUUCCAUUAACCACUAAUGCAUAUGAAUAGAACAAUUCACAAAUAUAUAUUGUUCAUAGUGAGUUUAAUGAUGAGGAAAUGUCAACCAGAUAUCGAGAUUUCAACACUUCUUUUUCCCUCAAGUUCAAUAAUUUGUGCAAUAUAAAAAUGCUCAGCAUGAAGCCUGCAAAGGUCUGCACCUGCAAAUUGUAGUGUGUUUCAAAGAAAAAAAUUAGUUUAAAGUAAAAAAUUAAAUAAUUUGGUGACAACCUCAUAAUUUUAGUAAAACAACAUUUUGAACUACUAAAACUGUUGAAGAAUGUAAUACAUAACUCAUAUUCACAUUGAACAUUUCAAAAUUCAAGAGAAUAUUUCCAACAAGUAUCUGUUUUAAGGGAUCUGAAUAAAGAUAGUUGUUGAAUGCCUUGAAUUGGACCCGCUACAAACAGAAAGGACGGGGUCUCGCUGCCCGGUCAGCGAGUCGGGGGGUCCAGGGGGGCGACGCGCCCCCUGGCCUGGGGUCCGGGGGGCGGAGACGCCCCCGGCCCGACAGUAUACAAUGUUGUUGUAUUGGGCCCUUAAUUUUCUGUUGAUUCUGUAUGUUGGGCCCAAGCCUGUUAGGGCGUAGCUUAGCACUAUAUAUAGACGCUAUGGGAAACCCUAUUCUGUAAUUCUGUUUUUUGCCUCUCCAUAAUAAAACUGUUCCCUCUCUUCCCGUGGACGUAGCCAAUUUAUUGGUGAACCACGUAAAUCUGUUGUCUUGUUUUUCGCGUUUAUAUUUUCUCGUAUUAUCUCAAAUUCCGCACAACAAUAGUCCAUGAAGUUUUACAAUUUAUUGUAUUAGUAAGGUAUAGAUUUGUAGCUAGUAAAAAAAUUAUUAAGCCAUAGUAGAUUUAAAAAUUAUAUGGAAGUAUAUUCAUCUUGAUUUCCAUUAAACUUUUGAAAUUACGAUUUAAAAUCUAAUGUGCUACUAAGACUGCAUCCACUGGUGUUGUCAUGCUUGAUUUUUUCUUGGAAAUGUACUCAGUUUAGUAUGAAAUAAAACAAACAUGAAACUAAUUCAAAACAAAAUGUCAAAUUUAACUGGUAAUGCUUGAUUUUGUCAAUGUUGACAAAUCUCAAAACUUAUAAAACUUGGAAGCUAGCAUAUUUGUAUUAUAAAAGUAAUUAACAAUAGGCCUAUUUGGAGGGUGGUGCACGCUUGCAACAUUAUUAUAAUUCUCUUUCAUAAUCUCACCAUUAGUCAAGAGUGAUUUCUUGUUUCACUAAUUUUCUUCCGCUUUCAUUGAAAUUUCAGGUACCUCAGUGUCUUGUCUCCAUCUGAGUGACAUUGCAGCGCUACUAAAAAGUGUUCACCUGGAUUGGUCUCCAGCUGGAAUUAAGUCAGCAAUUAUGACAACAGCCGAUGUCAUAAACCUCAAAUCCAACUUAAUCGAGGAUGAAACGUACCUUCCAGCCGAUGUCUUUGCCACAGGUGCAGGCCAUGUUAAUCCAUCAAAAGCAAAU
rnacentral:lncRNA from 1 species